UUUAUUUAUCUGGAUGCUAAUUUGCGCAAUUUGAGUGAUAAUUGCAAUUUUGGGUAUUUAUCCCAAAAUUUAUUACUUUUACUAUUUAAUUAGAAAAUUACAGGGCGUUGGUUUACAACGCCAAAAAUGUUUUGAUAGACUAUAUAAUUAGUGAGAUUUUAUAUAAUAAUGAUAUUAUAUUUUUGGCUCAGACCGAUCGUGUACCCACACAAGAUUAUUUUUAUUAGGUAUUUUUAACAUGAAGAAAAUAGGUCAAGACAUUAUUUUAAUUGAGAAAUUUAAGUACGAAGCACAAUAUCCUUGGCUGUGGGUGAAUAAUCGUGUAAUAGUUUAUAGUCAUAGUAAGAUGACUAUUGAAAGACGAGAUGACGUAUGUUGUGUGUGACGUUAUGGGAUGGGUCAAGAAAACUGCCAAACUUCUAAAACUGCCAAACUUCUAGUAGGCCGUGCCCAUGGGGCCGUGAUUAACCGCUGAACUUCGAGUAGGCUGUUCCCAUUGGGCCAUGAUUAAAAUACAACGCCUGGCUACACCAGAAGACCGCCGAGCAUCAAGCAGCCCGCGCCCUAUGGGCCGUGAUUAAAAAUUGGGACGCGUGUUUGGUUGAGAUUGUGUGAGACAUUCCAAGUGAUGUGUGUAUUUGCUAUAUGCAUUUGUGAUAUGAAUUGUGCUGACCUGCAGGGAGGAUUCGAGAUGAGGUAAGUCUAUGUGGUUAUAUGAUUAUGUGGUUAGGACGCCUUUGGGCAUAUUACCCUCUUAAUCAGGGUUUAGAGUGUGAACUCGCUGAAAGUUAUAUCUCACCCUGUCGUGGGCUCAUUUCUUUCAGGGCCGUAGAAUGAAGGAUCCGAUGCCAAAAUGAGAGGAAUAUGUUAGUUAGGAUAGCUUCUUUUUGAAGGACCGUCUUUUGUAGACUUUUGGUUGUUGACCUUUGUACAUGACUCAAUGAAUAUAUAAAAGCGUGUUUUGUUUGUGAAUCUAUUUUCCUGCUUUUCUAUCCCAAGCUGUUUACUGUCAGGGGAUAUUUAUUCGCUUCCACAUGUGUAAUAAAAAUGAAAGGGUCGACAACUCAUCCUGGGAAGUCGCAAAUUUUUAUCGACCACCGAGGGAUAGGCACACGCUCAAAGGAUCGGGGCGUGACAACACUACAUGGUAUAUCGCCGCAUUAGCAAUUUCUAACGAAAAUCAGCCAAAAUGACUUCAUUAAAAUUCCACACAAAGGUUUAAUAUUAAAUGCGGGGCAAAAAAGAAAAAUUUAUAAUUGAAUUGGUAUAAUAGGUUUAGUACUGAUUGGAUUAUAGCUCGCUUCUAUAACAUCCUCAGUUUCGGGUCAUGAGAAUAGGGUAGUCGGUCAUGAAUAGACGCAAAAAAACUCACCCAUUGAAAAGAACAUGUAUUUCACAUGUUAUCUUAGAACCAAACAAAAGUCAACCAAGUCAAGGUAAUCAUGAUUCUUGGAACCUAGUAAUUAAUAAAGAGGGGUGAGUCAUAUGGCUUAGGUGUCAUGAGAUACUAAUGAUGUUCUAGAAAGAUAGAAGCCUCCAAAGAACAUAUGCUUCAUGUGUUGUCUUGGAAAGUAAGACAAGGUUGACUAAGACUUAGUCUUGCUUAGGGGGAUGAGUUGUAUUAGACCUCGUCUGCUCAUGAACUAGUCACAACCCUCGGUCCAAAUAGGACUGUCGAUCGUGGACAAAUAUGAGAAACUUCUAUUUGAUAAGAUGGCACUCCAGUUUAAUUCUUUUUCAUAAAGGCCUUGAAUUUUAGAAGUUAGCUAAUUAAAGAGUAAAUCAAUUUCAAGUCUUCUUAGGAUAAGCAAGUCAACCAUAAGUCUUCUUAGGAUAAGAUUUCUAGAAGAAUCAAGUCCACCCAAGUCAAGGCUUCUUAAAGGAUAAGCCUUCUAGAAAAGAACAAGUCCACCAAGUCAAGAUAAAGCUACAUGCCUAAAUCUUCUAGAAGAUGAGUCUACUCUAAGCCAAUGAACUAGAAUUCAAAGAAUAUUAAUGCAAAAAGGUGAUUCACACCUAGGGGGCUUCUUGGAAGACUAGUUGUCUUAAAAUUCUCUUGGAGUCUAGCCAUUUAGGAUCAUCAUUAGACUAGUUGAGUCUUGAAAGUGGAUAAGCCUCAGUACAAGAAGAAGAAGAACAUGCCUAAAGGAAAGAACCGAUGGAUUUUGAUUGAUUAAUAAAUGAAUCCCGUGUCUUGACCUUAUAAUAUUCAUGUACAUGUGUUAUUUGCUCUUACCUUGACCCUGAAAGUCAUGUGCAUAUUUUAUAAGCUAUCAUUUCUGUCUUAAAAGUCACGUACAUAUUUUGUAUGCUAUUAUUUGGCACAUGCAUAUUUUAUAAGCUAUUAUUUGGUCUUGAGAGUCACGUGUAUAUUUUAUAUGCCAUUAUUUGAUCUUGGUCAUAUUUGUUUUAAAACUAGUCUUGGAAGUUUGUAAGUGGAGUCGUCUUAGAAGCUUAUAAGUGAAGUGGGCUUGGAAGCUUGUAAGUGAAGUAAGUUUAAUUGAAAGUUAUAGAGAGCUAAACUUAAAGAGCAAAGAGCAUGUAAUUGAAGGAGGCUCGGUGGAAGGUUCUAGAGAACCAAAACUUGGAGAGCAAGUCAUGAGAGCAAGUCAUGAAAGCUAGAAGAGAUGGCCUAUAAAUGGAGAUGCCCUCCCCUCAUUUCCUCGCCCUCUCUCUCUCUCUCUCUCUCUCUCUCUCUCUCUCGUGCGCGCGCAAGCGCUACUCCCUCGUCUCCCUUGCACGUCUCUUUCUUCCUCUUGGCCUCACUCUCUCCGCCUCUCUCUCACUCGUGUCCUCACCAAGCAACUCGCCCUGUCACCAACGAUGACUUUUAGGCCUGUUAUAAGUGAACUUUGUAACCCUUAGUUAGGGCAAUGUGUUACAUUAGUUGAGCGGGUUACGUUGGUAGAGCAGAUCAUGUUCUUGAUAGUACUUGUUUAUACGUAUGUCUAUGUUGAAGAGUAAUUGUCUAUGAUUUGCUCAUGAAUUACUCAUGAACCAUUCCUUGUAUGUAUGUCGAUGGAUACUUUUCUAUGGCUUGCUCGUGUGUAAUUUUGUAUGGUUUGUGUGUGUGGAAGCACGCCCUCGAGCCUUAUAUGUGUGGGUUAAGAUGGAAGAUAAUAAACUGGCUUGUGCGACACAUGAUAUGUGAUCACUAAAUGAAAGAAAAAUAUGGUCAUCACACACUAUUGGUGGUAAUGCCCCAUUCGUGAAAACUUAAUGCUUUGAUUAAGCCCAAAUGCCUUGAGUGAGUUAGUACAAGGAUAUCUUGAUUGAGCCAAGAUACCGUAGUUAAGCCAGGAUGCGUAGAUUGAAACUAAAUACCCUGGUAAGGCAUGUUACACACUUUGCAUGAUUCAUGCCCUUGAACCUUACUUGUAUCAGGUAAUAAAAUGAAGAUAAGAAGCCGGAUUGUAAUAUUUGUUUACAUGGUCACACAAGGGAAUAAACUUAGCCGUCACCCUUAGAUUAUGGGACAUUACCCGAUUAAGUUUGGAUACUUGACGGAUUUGUUGUCGAAGGAUUGCCAACGCUCUUAGAUUAAGGGAUGUUGCCCAAUUAAGUACAAAUGUCCAAUGGAUUUCGAAUGAUAACCGUUAUCCUUGGAUUAGGGAAUGUUGUUUGGUGGAUUCCAAAAGAACCGUACGAAUGAUUAUAAUAAUAAAUGAACCCUUUUGUGCAUGCUCUUUGUUUUAGUAUGAUGGCUUUAAAUUGUGCGAGCCUUCCGUUGUGCAUGCUCUUGUUCUAGUGUGAUGGUUUUAAAUUGUGUGAGCUUCGAAGGUAAGAUGAGCUCUUCUCAUGCACAUAGUUGAGUUAUUGAAAUAUUUUUGCUAUUGAUUUAUCAUCGACAUUUGACGCGGUUAUGUUCACGUGCUUGUUCGAUGGCAAAACAUCCUCCUAUUGGAAGAUUAGUAAGUUUACUUACCAAGUUAAUGAUUCACUCCAUUGUUUUUUAGAAUUACAGGCAUGAAAGUCCCACAACAUUUUCGAAAGCAAGCCUGCUAGAGGAUUUAAGGUUAACCCCGCUUUUUUGAAGCACAAAAUAUGGUGGUUGUAAAUAGAAUGGGCCAUGUAAGAAGGGCUUGUGCUAUCUUUCGAUAAUGUAUGAAAGUAGUGGUGUGUCAUAAAUAAUGUUUGUUCAUCCCCAUUGCUUAUAUAUGGGUGUAUUUUCCUGACUUGCUCAUUGUUGUAUGAGCAUAAGAUAUCGGAUGCUCUUAAAAAAAGAUAAAAAGAAAUGAGACGGCGACGCGCUUGAGAUAUCGCGAAAAUAACCCUUACCGUUGGAGACUCUGUUCAUGGAGUCAAGGUCAUUACAGCUUCUUUGUAAAACAUAAGACCAAUGAAAUAAAGGUUAGGCAGAUAGUUACGCCGGAAGUGACUUCUAAACCUAGUACGAUAGGACGCCAUAGACAUAGAGUAGUCCUUCAAGUUGGUGGUUACUGUGGUCAAGGACAUAGACAAGAAGUCGAUUGUCGUGAGCAAGAAGAGCUUUGAAUCACAAGCUAAACAAAUGAAUGAUCGAGCAGGUUCCCUUGUGUCCUAAUCCAGAGGACAUAGUUACCCCAUCAUCACGUUCAUCAGCUGGUUGGUAUUAAACAAAAGAACACAAACACAAUGGCUAUUUAGGUCUGAAACAAAGCGCAACAUGGACGACUCGAUAAUUUUCACAUGAAAUAAAACCCUAACAAAGGCUGCAACACAAGAUAAUUCCAUUCAGAAGGAAAGCCAAUCGCACCAAAUAGCAACAAGAAUGGUCGGUAUAGAAGACCCCCGAGUUCUGAUCACACCAUGGCAUCUGCAAAAACAGCCGGCAGACCUGGAAAAUUAAGACGAUAAAUGUCAAUAACCCAAGAACAAUGAAGAAAGAUAAUGAUGAAUAUUGUACCUACGCAUGCAAUGACCGAUUGACAUUGUGAUUUCAAUAAUAACAAUGUGAUAAAAUUUCUUUGGACAUGUAGACAAGCCGACCGUCUUGCAUGUCUAUCUCACCAAUCAUAAUGAAUACUUUCAUUAAAAUCAAAAACCUAACUUCAUAUGUACAUGUAUAUAUGUAUCUAGCUAGCGUAUCUCAACUUUAAGUGGAAAGUAAGACAAAAAAGAUAACAACAGGAUUAACUGCGUAAUGCCCAUCUAAUCUCAUUUCAACCUUGGUGUGUUUUUUGGUGAAAAAAAUAGGGUAAAGAACAUACUUUACCUAAAAAAGAAUGACGAAAAGAUGUCGAUGCCUAUAGAGUGGCGGACACGUGGUGGCCCACUGGACCCACCGUCAAAAUUGAUCACCAAUCAAAGCCACUAGACUAACUUUUUCUUACUUGGAUUCAUCGUUUGGAAGUUUUCUCCGAGGGACCCUUUUAUCACAAGACCGGCUAUUUCGCCUAGGAAAAUGAUUACACAAAAUCAAACUCUUAUUAGACUGCUAUAAAGUUACGCUUAAAUAUCAUUGUAAAACUUUCUAUCCAAUGCAAUAGCUAAAAGGCAUGUUUUUUUUUCCCCAAUUUCAAAGUUUUCUUGACAUGUGUAUUUUCUUACUAUUCUUUAUUACUCUUUUUAGGAUAAGUCUAUCUUAGAUAAAUAGACUCUGAACCCAUGAAUCCAAUUAACAUCAUGGAUCAAAUGAUAUUGUGUGCAAAUUCUGCACCCACCUAUGUAUUCCUUGACAUAAUACUUAUUUUGGGGAUGACGUACAAUGAUAGACAUUAUUAAUCAAAGUACACAAAUUUGUGGGACAAAAUUCUAUGGUUGAUGUGGUAAAUAUAGUCAAUCAACACUAUGUGAAGUUUAGCUAAUUUUAUGGAUUUUCAAUGGUCACCCUGUGGAACCAUUCUAAUGAUAUAACAUAUCUUGUAAGCCUUGUCUUCAAACACUAUCUUAUCAUUGCGUACUCGUGUCGUUAUGCUGGCAGUACCUAGCCAUACAGUACUACUCCCCAAUCUUACUAUACUGCCAUGCGAAAAACGUAAUGCUCUCAACUCAUUUUAUGAUAGCAUGAUAAAUAAGAACAACCACAUUGCGAUGCGCACAACGACGUGAGGACUGGUGUUUUUUGUAGCUUCAACUUCAAAUAUAAGUGUCACUAGCUUUGUCUUGAUCUAAUAUUUGAUGAAGCAAUAUUAACCAAUAAGUUUCGCGAGUAAGCAUUAUUGCUGCUAACCAGAAACGAGACUUUGUAGACCGGUCUUGUCUAACCAUCAUUGCUCUUUAAUAGAUGCCGUAUACGAAUGGUUUCAUGUUUUGUGUAAGAGUUGCCUCAGAGACAACGUUUUCGUGCAAUGGAUGACGGAGAGAAAGGGAAGAAGAUACGGAAGAUUUAGAGCUCAGAUUUAUGGAUGGGGAAUCAAGUCAAGACCAUCAAGUGGAUAAUAUUUGCUGAAGGGAAGAUGAGUGCGCAAUGCUAAUGUGCUAUUGUCACAGACAGAACAAUCUGACCACUCAUUUGUAAGGUUGGGCAUCUUGUACAUCAGAUCAUCAUAUCAUAUCUAUCUAUCUAUCCACAGUACAAAAAAGUUCAGUCCUUGUUUUGCACUUUUCUAUCUGUUUUACUUUAAUGACAAGAGUUGAAAGCUAAGGACUGCUCCUACUCUCAACAUAUAUUGUUUGGAAUUUAACAGUGUUGAUGGUUAUGGUAUUGUACUGAUGAAGAUAUUCGCCUUGAUGAAAAAGAAAGAAGGAAGAAAUCGAACUUGCCUUGAGGAGAUUGAAGGAGAGACAGGUACUCGUCCUUCUGCUGAUUGUUGGUGACAAGGAGUUGGUGUAUGCAACCAGGCUUCAUCAUUUGAUUCUCUUUGUCAUUUAUCUUGCUCCCCAGCUCCGGAUGGAUCUUCUUCUUCAACAUCUUCCUCAUCAACUGCAUGCAUUGGGUUGGCAUUCACUACAUCUAUUAAUCUUUACCCUUAUUUUGUCAUUAGCGUUGUUUGUGUCUCCUAAACAAAAGUAUAUACUAUUUGAUUUUUGACUUUUCAUGAUUGGGUUUGCCAGCUGCCCGUGUUAACGACCUGAGGAAGUGCUUACGCAUGCUAAAAGUGAAAAUAGAAAGGAGCUCAAGGAUACCGCAUAUUUGAUCCUUAAUACCCCCACACUAUUUAGGUGUACGUUCAUCUGAAUAACUUCAUCAGAGCCAAAGUGGAACAAGAUUGACCUCUGAAAGGGAUAUAAAGGCUCUCACUUUGUGAAGAUACCUUAGCUUGUUGGGAAAAAGGACACUCACCCGGUUUAGUUUUCUAGUGGGGCGUGAAUCUUCAGACACCAUGUGAUGAAUGAGCUUCUUGGCAAAAGAUUGGCCAUCUUUCUUGGUUGAAGCGGACUCUUUUUUCCCCAACGGCUUGGUGGGUUGACCAACUUCACUUGGAUAUGGUUUUUCUUUGACAUCAGAAUCUGCUGAGAAGAGGUCGGCCAAGGUCACUCUGUGCCCUUUCUUCUUCUUUUCUUCUUCAAAGACCACUCCCUUGGUCAGCUCAACAUUGUCAACCACCAUUGACCUGUCAGGUUUAGCAACAUCAUCUUUGAAUGGAUUCAGUGGUCGCGUCUCAUCAUUGAGGACGUGGUCGUUGUUGCAGAAUGUCGUCGACAUCAAAGGGUUCUGUUCCUCGUCUUCCACAAUCGGUUCCCCCGGAUCACCAGGAUAGAGAUCAUGAUCAUGCUGAUCAUCCUCUUCCUGACUCUCAUGAUGACUUUCCAAGAAGAGCUCAUCCUUUUCUUGGUCCAAGGGUUUCAGCGGAUCAUAACCAAAAGUUCCAAUUGUUAAUAUCCCAUCUUUCCAACCAUCCAACACGCCUGCGAAUGUGAGCCCUUCAAGUAAUGCUAGCGCAUCCGCAGUGAUGGAUUCAGCCUCUUUCACACUUCCGCCUAGCUCAUGAUCUGCACAAACACACAACAACUUUCAAAUAGUGAUCGCCACAACUUCUGAGAAGGUAGUGACUGCUCUAGAACACUGUUCCAACGACAUUGAUGCGCCAAAGCACUCGACAAAUGCAUGGGAUCUGGCAGAAAAGGAACAUCGUGUCGUCAUUUUUGGUAGGGGAAAUUUGCAAAAUCAAACCUUGGAGGAUGUUAGCAUUCGACCUCUUCCUCUUUUGCACCCAGUUAAAGAUCUGAGGAGAAGAUGAUAGAAAGUGAUGAGCAACUUGGACAGUAUUAACAAACAAGCUGAGGCAUGCAAAAACAAAGCCGUGAUCAUAACGAUAACGGUGAUGGGGGAUGAAUGCAAGAACCUUCAUUUUCCCUCUGCAAGUUGGCGGAUGGUGAAAUGAAACAAAGUGUCAGAGUGAAUGAACGAGGCAAAUCAAUUAUGGUGGUGAAGUGGGAAGUGAAGAGAAGAGAGGGGGCCGUGGCCAACCCGGUGGAAGAAUGCGGUGAGGACACGUGGCGGGGGGAGUGGGGCCACAUUUCUUUGGGGUUACAUGGCAUGUUGGAUCAGCAGCAACCCAUAUCCAUGUUGGGUCUUGCUGGCACCAUCGAUAGCUCGAUAUUCUUGACGUGAUGUUGGGUUUUCCUUUUCUCAAUUCAGAGAGCCAAGGGAGAGGCUCCAUUAAUCCCUCACGUUCCCAUUCUAAUUUCACUGGCCGUUGCAUAACAUGAGAGCAAGAAGUUUCAUCAAAAAGAGAAGGGUCUCCUUUGGACUUUUUUGUUGGAACCAAGCUCAACACUGCAAAAUCCUUCGAGAAUUAGAGUUUAUCUGAAAGUCUUUUUCCUUCUAAUUGAUUAAUCAUAGAACUAGUACAACGUAUAUACAACAAUCAUGAGAACCAUGUGCUUUUAACUUCUUACAGUUUACAUGUGUGAUAAGGGACUUGAUAAUUUGGGAGACUGUGAUUUGAUUUAUUUUUCCUGCUUUUUGGAACUUUAGAAUCUUAGAUAGUUAUCUUAGAAGUUUGAGUAAUUUGUUUUUGAGUCAUCCAAUUAGAUCUUGGAUAAUAUCCUUAGGGAUUUUCCUAACUCUUUUUUUUAAUGAUUUUCUACCUAUCUUUUAUAAAAAAAAAAAAAAAUCUCUAGGAUUUUAGGCUAUUUAUAUUCGUACUAUUAUUCUUUUGUAAGAAGCUUUUGACGUUGAAUCAAUAAUGAUAUUGAUAGUUUAUCUUUUUGCGCUUCGAGCUUGUCACACCUUUACGCGUGUUUGCUAGUUUUACUUGUACUCUAAAUUGCGAUUUGUGUCAUCCCCGUUUCCAUUGUGUGAGGUGACACCGGAAUAGGUUAGUCGUAGGAACUCAGCACUAGCUGCUUUGGGGACUAUCAUUUAAGAUUGGGAGGUGUAGGCUGUUUGACAGUAGCCUUAGAGUAUCUUGACAAGUUAUAGAACGGGAUCGAAGGAGACGAAUAUUUAGUUGGAAGGUCGGGCAAUAAGCUCAGUCGGAAGCUCAAACAAAAGUGCAUUAGGAUUAGGAUUAGGAUUAGGAUAACAAUGUUGGGCCAUUGGGAAUCACACCUAUGUCCAAUCGUUUCGUAAGCUUGCUCUCACCUUGCGAAGUAACCGACUUGUCUAAAGUAUCGUAAGUCACAUUGGGAUAUAAUGGAUUACAAAUGAGAAAUUAUGCGUUUCGAAUGUGUUCCAUAAUUUCUCAUUUGUUCCACCUCGAUCGUGUUUACGAUAGUUAAUUUAUUAUGGAUUACCGUUCGUAUCAUCUUUGUUUUUUCCUUUUUUUUUCCAUGUUUAUAUGUUUGAUAAAUUAAAGACAAAUCAUUGUCAAGUCACAUCUAUAUUAAAGAUGGAUAUGAUGGGACUAUAUUUGUUGGCAAACUAAAGCGACAGUCAACAAACGGAGUCAAUCACAACUAGUGGAUAAAAAAGAUGUACUACCAUGGGCGGAGCUGGGACUGGGACGACCCUCGUCGAAGUCCUACGAGGCCGCAACCGGAGGGCGAUGGGCUGAGGGUGAAGAUGGAAAAGAUUUUCAUUAGGUUUUAGCUACUCUUCCAUAAGUGCGAAUAGAUGGACGCAUAGCCACUUUUUGGAUAAGGUGCUUUGACCCAAGUCUACUCAAUAUCUUGUUCAAUUUUAAUUUUCUAUUAUCUAGAUUUAAAUAAAGCGCUUUUUCAGUCUGUUUUUGCACAUGAUGGAGGUGCGAAAUAUUUAAUAUUGUCGCAAUAUGACAAUUCUAUAUUAAUGAAUCUCUCUUCAUUUAAUAGCUUAAUGUAUCCAACGCGUAUGCACUUUCCACUUAGGCAUGUUAAUAGCAUAUUCAAAAAACUUAGGGAGGUAAAACCAAGCAAAGAAGAAAAACCUCCAAACCCCGAAUUGAGAUUUUAAACUGUUUAAUUUGACUUGUUUGUGCCCACAUAAACAUUUUCUUGCCCCUGUAAAUACAUGUACUUUGAAUUGUAUUUGAUGCCAUGAUAUUAGAUGACUUACGAGCAAACUAGCAAAAUGAUAUUCAUGUAUCCAUUCAAUAUAGAAACUAGGGGUCAAGCGCACUCUAUGCGCGUGCAUAUCUAGUCCUUUCCUACAUUCGACUAUGUAAUAAAAUUUCAGGAACGAUUAGAACGAGAAUUCCAUAUCCUCGAUUGCUAUUACUGUUGAUCAUAAGGAGUGUCCACAGAAAGCUAAGAAGAUGUCAUAACAUGUCGAAGCAGUUGAAGUUGAUGCAAGAUGCAGAUGGGAAUUAUUGCAGCAUUCGUGCUUUCCAUCCUAAAAUGAAAACAGAGGAAUUAGGAAUGUUUAGCUACUAGCUAGCGCGUCCAGAAAUCCAACGAUGGGCAAUGCAUUGCAUUGACUAGCGAUCCGGUCACCCUCAGAAAAGCGACCAAGUCCACACAUAUAUCGGGAUAAGGAAAGUUCCACAUUGAGAACGGAAGAAGAGAUGAGUAGGUGUCGAGGAAGAAGAUGGCAAAUGUCGGAGCGGGGGUCAUUUCGACCAGUAGCCAUUUGUCGCUCUGCUUGGGCCUUCAAGCAUCGGGUGGUGCACCUUAACAAGGAGCUUCGGAUGCUUUCGGAUGCUCAUCUUGUUCUUCAAUGAUGGAGAGGGUUUGGUCGUGGCGGGUCAUCUCCGGUCCCUCUCCAUGUCCGCAAAGCCCGCAUACCUUUCUCCCCUCUUGUUUGAUUAUGCACCAAGCUUUGAUGCCAUCCACAUUGCCCACGCAGUCACCUUCUCUAUGUUAUCUUCACAUGGUUUGUCCAACUAUUUCAUCCAAACUCCAUUGCGACAUAAGGACAUACUUUUAUUUUAUUAUUCUUCGUAUAUAUAUAUAUUCCAUUUCAUUUGGAUUUACAUCUAACUAUUUAAGAAAGUUUCUUCAACGUCAUAUAAUUUCGCAUUCUUAUCUUCCUCGUCCCCUCACUCACACACCUAAAGUUAAAGUUAUCGUCAUUUUUCAAUUCUCAAUGGUUGGAAAAAUGCAAAAUAUAUAUAAUUGGAGUAAAUAAAACCAGUAAACUUACAUAAGAAAUGCAGUAUUUUUCCAGGUUGUUUAAGUGACUACUUACCGAAAACAUUUAAAGAAACGCACAAAACAAAUGGUCAAAGUUAAGAAGAAUUUGAAAACUAGUAAUGCUAUAGUUAAUGGUAAAACAGUUAUAUUUCUAACACACUAUUAUGAAAAGUUCUCUAAUUAUUUUUGACAGAGUAGAUUCUAACAAAACGUUAAGUGGAUAAAUUAACAUAUCAUUAAAGCGAAUAUAUAACAAAUAUAGUAUCUUCCCACGAUGUUUGAGUGAUUUAUUAAAUAAGUACGAAAAAAUAUCGUAGAUUCACAAGACACGAAACCCUUUGCAAGGAUCCUCGUCUUUCCUAUAUCGAUCCUUUUUAAUGAACUCAACGUGAAAUAUAAUUGAUAAACAGAUUAAUGACAAAAACUUUCAAGUUUCUUCACUAAUGGAUUUGUAAAGAUGUACAAGAACAUUAUUUGACUUUGUUUAAGAUUCCACAAAAUAAAAAUUAUGGUAAUGGCAAGACGUCAACGAUAUGUUGUAGGAGCUUAUAAGGACUAGGGGUCUGCAAAACGGAUGGCCCAAACCGAAAACUACUCGGACCAAACUGGACUGGCCAAUUCAAUCCAUUUUCCGGUUCCAAGAAAGAAUCAGACCGAAUCAACCUACAUAUACAAUUAUUUUGUUAUUUCUUCAAAAAAAAUAGUAAAAUGUGAACUAAAUAUUAUCUCAUCCAAUGGUACCACAAAUUACUGUAUAAUAACUCGUCACUCAUCGUCACUUCGGUCAAUAUCUUAAAAUUUGUCACUCUCUCUCGUUGUGCACGACCAUUUUUUAGUGAGAAAAAAAAGUGACCGAUUCUAUUGAACCGGACCAGACUAGAAAUCGAUCACCCCCUAUUAAGGACGAUAGAUCCAAAUUAGGCAACGGUUUCAACAAUUUAGAUAUCGGGUCUUCAUAAUACACGAAUCAAACUAAAAUGGAAAGGUGUUCUACUUCAUUCUUCCUUUGGCUGGAUGACUAGCCAGAGGCUAGGACCGGUGAGGGACCUUCCUAGCCACUUGUGAGGCCGGCCUCGUCGUCAUUAGGCGAGGCUUGGCCUCGUCAAAUCUAGCGAGGGCUCGCCUUGCCUAGCCAUGGCGAGGUCAGGGUGAGGCAAGGCCUCACCAUGACUAGUUGAGGUCAACCUUGCUAAGACUGGUCAAGGCGAGCCCUCGCUAGCCUUGCCAGGCCAACCUCGUCAGCCCUAGCCUCUAGCCAAUCACCUAACUAAGGAAGAAGGAAGGGAUGAAGGAAAUAAAUAAAUAUAUAUAUAUAGCAAAUAUGUAAUUCUAAACCGUUCUAAAUGCACAAGCACAUAAACACGUAAAUGUGCAUACAUUAAAAAUUAAACCUCAAAAUAUGAAAACACCCGUUUGUUCACCAUGAAACAAUUCAAGAACUAGUAAAUGCAAUGCACCCCAUUUCCCUGGGCAGGAAAAUGGAAAGUUUGUAGACAUCUAUGAGACCUCAUUCAUUUACAAAGAAGUUCUAUGUGAAACACAACAUAUAUCUUGCAGGGAAAAGACCACCAAAAAUCAUUAACUUUGUCCAAAGUGAUAAAUUUACCCAUAACUUUUUUUGUGACAUGAAAAACCCUGAACUUUACCAAUAGUAACAAAUUUAUCCCAAAUUUUUUUUCGUGAUACAAAAAGCCUUGAACUUCUAUCCUUGUGACACAUUUACCCUAAAUUAUAGGGUAUUUUGAUCUUUUUACUUUAAAAAAAAAAAAUCUUUUUUUCUUCUUCUUCUCUCUUUCCUCCGCCGGCCACUGGUGGAGGGAAGCCAGUGUUCCCUAGGACCGCCCUCGCCAGCGCCGAGCGAGGGUAGCCCUCAGCUGGGUCGGGCAAGGGCCUCCCUUGCCCUCGCUAGGCCCUCGCCAAUGUUGGGCGAGGAUGGCCCUCAUCGGAUCUAGCGAGGGAGGCCCUCGCCCCGACCUAGCCGUGGGCCACCCUCACUGGCGUUGGGCGAGGGCAGCCCUAGCCAGCCCAAGCGAGGGCGACCCUCGCCCGACGCCAACAAGGGCAGACCCUCGCCGGAUGCCAGCUUCUCUCUAUCAUGGGCGGUGGAGGGAAGAGAGAAGAAGGAAAAAAAAAAAAGAAGAAGAAGAGAAAAUGCCUUUAGUGGGGUAAAUGUGUCAAAGUUUAUAAAGUUUGGAAUGUUUUAUGUCACCAAAAAAAAAAUUUGGAGUAAAUUUGUCACUUUGGGCAAAGUUUAGGAUUUUUUAUGGUCUUUUUCCUAUCUUUUACACAAUAUUUUAAACUAGAAGUGUGAUUCAUAGUGGACUUGGCCAAAAAUUCAGACGCGCACUAUGCUAUCUUUCGAUAACAACAUCCAAAGAAGUGGUCUAUGGUCUCAUAAUUUAAGCACAUAGGAGCCAGAAGACGAAAUGAGAUGGGGAGGAGCGAUGGAUGCCAGCCAGAACUUUUGUAGGAAAUAGGCCCCUCGUCAGAUUCGGUGUAUCCCUACACUUCAAUCACGCCUAUCCAUCCAAAGACCAAAUCCAGUGAUGGCCCUACAAUUCAAUGGUGGAUACAACUGACAAGUCCUCUUCCAAGAAAACUAUUCAUUUCCUUGUUUCUAAUUAUACAGUCUAGUCGAGUGUCGACGCUUGACGGCUUCCCUACUUGCUUGGGAUGCUUAUGGAAAUGCGUUGAAAUAUUUAGCCCUGUUUUGCUCCCGAUUAGUGGCUUUCAUUUGAUUAAUCAAGGUAUGUAUCCAAGCUCUCCAUGUCUAUAAAGAGAGCGCAACUGACUAGGGGGCGCACGAAUGCUCACCGCAACCCCAUGUUGCUUUUGGGCCUUGGGCCUUAACAAUCGGCCCUACGAAGUGGCCUCAACAACUGAUCCCAAAUUCAAGGACUGUCACUGCAGAGGCCGAGUCUCACAUCCCUUUAUUGAUCUCGUAAGGAGCAGAUAAUACAUCUGGUCAUGCGAAUUGCCUAAGGCCCGAUGCUAGUCCCCCGUAAUGAGGUAUCCGACAUCUAUUACGCAUCCCAAAAGGUCCGCCGCUUUGAAGGCCAUCGCGCGGUAGCCUAGCUAGCUAACUGCAGCUGGCUGUUAUUUUAGUUGGAGCGCGCCUUCCCUUCUUCUCUCACGUCGGAAAGAUUUAGCAGGACUUUUUCAAAAGAUGACCUGAUCGGUGGAGUACGAUACACUGGUGUACAUGAGUAGUGAGGUUGGUUAUAGUAAGGCCUGGCAUUUGAGGUCGGAUUUGAAUGAGCAGCUCCAAAACCCCCUUUUAAGAGGUGAAAGCGGAGUUUUUUUAGAUGCAUUCAGAAGAAAGAAAGUGAAGUCCACCUACUACCCAUCGCUUCUUCUUUCCCGGAUCAAGUGCACGUAGCGAAAAGCGAGAUGGGCCGUCGAAUUGAAAGGAUCUCAUAUGGAAUGCAUAUUUUAAAUUUAUGCUGACUCAAUUUAAAAAAGGAACUUGUUCCUAUCUAAAUAGUUAAAGGAUGUAAAAAACAAAGACCGACAAGUCCGUAACUCUUUGCGAUAAAGAUAAGUGUGGUGAGGAUACUAUAUUCUGUUUGAUUUGUUGCAUCCACUAUCCACCUAACUGCCAUCAUUACAAUGAUCAUGAUUCGAUAUUUUUUAGUAGAGGAAGGUGAUGAAUCUUUCUAUAAAAACUCAAGUUAUACGUGGAAAGCCUAUGACUCUUGCUUUUGUUCCAAAACUGGCUAAACUAAUCCCUUAUACAAGCCAUGCAAGGAUUAUAAUAUCUGCCUCUUCGCUGAAGAUUUUGCUUGCUUUUCGAUGGACUUUUAUUGUCAGAUUGCCACAACAACGCUCGAAGGAACGACUGCAGGUGGAAAGACAGGUGCACAGAUACACAUGGACGCAAUAUGUACACUUAAAUAUGAUUCCCAGGUUGGGGAUUUAUUUUUUUAUACGAGACACGAUCAUCAUCGCAUCUCUAAAUCUCAGUAGAAGGGAAAGCAUCUUCGCCAACUAAUUUAGUACCCCACUUCAUUAAAGGAAAGCGUAGAAUAAUAUGGAUAAAAUCAAACAUGAAGGGAGACGAAAGGGUUUCUUUAGCUGGGCUCUCUUUUUUGACUCUAGGCGGUGUUCUUUUCCUCCUUUGACCUUUCCUUUAGGGGUUUCAGGUUCCGGCCUGAACUUGAAGAACUCCAGUCGAGGAUCCAGACUCGUCAUACAAAGAUACCCAAAUCAGCAGGAGCAGGCGGAUGGUUUCUUCAAGUCACUGACAUCUUCCAAAUCACAUCCUGAGCCUGAAGGCACAAUAUGGAUCUUCUUGGACGACCCUGAAUACAAGGCAGCAUUACUCACACCAUUAAGAUUGUUCCCAAUUAGAUCCCCACCGCCACAUUCCAGUGCUUUCCUCUUAGCAAUGACGCCGUAGAUCUCCUCCAGUAGCCUCAGGAAUGCCGCGUCCACGUUGUCGCCACUGAGCGCGGAGGUCUCCGAGAAGAAGAGGCCUUGGUCUUGCGCAAAGUCCACAGCAUUCUCCAUAGGGACUGCCCUCAUGUCCCCGGCGAGGUCGGCCUUGUUGCCGAUGAGCAUGAUCACUAUGGAGUGGUUCGCGUGGGCCCGGAGCUCCUCGACCCACUUGGCCAGAUGGUCGAAGCUCUGCCUCUUGGUGAUGUCGUAUACCAGCAUGGCCCCUAGUGCUCCUCGGUAGUAUGCGCUCGUCACUGCCCUGUAUCUGUUUAAUUCAUCGCAGCAACUGAUUAUUGAACCACCGACCAUUGCAUUUGCGUACGCAUUAACCACACAAUGCCUGUACGUGUCUUGCGAUGAAUGUUAGUGGACAAUUAUUGUCUACGCCUGGAAAUAAAUAGACCGAUCGAUCUGAGCCAUUAAUCUGAUGGAUCUUACAUUACAUCGAGUCUACUCCACGUAUUUUAACGGCUCAAAUCACUCUAUCCAUAAUAGACUAGACGAGUCCAGGUAAGAAGUUAUAGAAAGAGAGGGAAGACCUUUCUUGGCCGGCAGUGUCCCAGAUCUGGGCCUUGAUGACUUUUCCGGCGAUGGAAACGGUUCUGGUCUGGAACUCGACGCCGAUGGUGGACUUGGAGUCGAAGCGGAACUCGUUCUUGGCGAACCUGGAGAGCAGCUGGGUCUUCCCCACAGCAGAGUCGCCGAUCACCACCACCUUGAACACGUAGUCGAUCCUAUCGUGGCCGUUCUCUCCGUAGCUCUCCGUGUCGAUCCCAUUCAUUUCUUCCCCCAUCUUCUUUGCUUACACAGAAUGGUACCAGCAAGGACUGAAGGACCAACAAGGAUGUUGACUCUCCAGCCUCACUACUACUUAUCUAAUAUUAAUUAUACAGAGAGAGAGCUAACUAGUGCUAUAAUGCUGGGUUUGGUUUGGCUAUUUGUUGCCUUUGGUCCCGGGUUAAGUGGGGGCAAGUAGACAGAGAGAGACAGAGAGAGACAGAUUACAGAGGUUAAUGGGGUCAAAGGUGAGAAAAAGAAGAGAGAGCAAAGCUACAGGGACGCCAGUUAAGUGACAAAAUUGGCGUUUCUUCCUUUAUCCUUCCUUUUCAGUGCUUUCGGCAUGGAGGACGUACCCUGGCAUCAUUGCAUAUGUACAGUGACUUGCGUCGGAGUCGCGGACGAAUCAACAGAGCCUCUACUCCUUCAACGGCCCAAGUCUUCUCUCCAAAAUUAAAAAAUUGUCAUGCUGACGAAAGUUUACUGAUAUUUACUUAAGCAAGUGAGUGGAACAGGGUCAUUGCCUGCGGUAGAUUGAAAUAACGUGUUUUAGGUUUAAAACUCCUGGUAAUAAGAUUGCAAGAGGGAGACAACAAUGAUUAAUAUGCCCUUUUGCCUGGCGGGUUGACCUAACUUCCGAGUUGGCAUUGAUUAUUCUACAAUAGACAUAUCAUGCUCCCACGCAUAAUUGCCAUGCAUGUGUCAUGAGCCAACGCUUGAGAUUGAGACCAUACGGCAACUUAGAUUUCCUUUGAUUUGUUGGGUCACCUAAGCAAAGCUUUUUCCCAAUGAUCAAUCACUUGCUCACUAAUUUAUCAGGAUCAUAGAGAGGAAGCGUUAGGAGAGAAGCUUUGGAAGAGAAUGUAUUUUUAUUACUUGAAUGUUGAAUGAUACAAAUGAGGGAAAGAGUACCCAUAUUUAUACACGUGGAAAUCUACUCUUCUCAACUACCUUCUAUCACUACUGUCUAGCCUAUUAAAUAUAAGCUAGCAUCUCAUUAAAUAUUUUAAAUACAAAUACACAUUUUCAUGAACUUAUUUUGUUUCUUAGGGUCAUUUCUUAGUAUAUCAAGUCUUGAGAAUCUCGGACCAUGACACAUGUACGAAGGAUUCUUUAACGUUGGAAGGCUUCUUUGAUCUAUUACAUUAGUUUGGCGCGGUCCCUGGUCAAUUAUGUCAAUGUACGGCGAGAAAAGGUUUCUGUGGCUGUGGAUGAACUGAGCAAUGUAGGACCAGCGUGUAUGAUUCGCAGGGGCUACUCGGAAUACAAGGGAAGCUUCAAAAAUGGCAACAAUUAUCUUUUAAUAUGUUGGCACCGACACUCGCUCACGGUACCAUCGUGUUCCUCGCUUGCAUGGAAAGUGUCAUUCCCAAGGGAGGGAGGCCCGCCAAAUUUGGACCACACUAUGGAACCCUUCAUCAGCACAGCCCAGGCUCCAGAAACAGGGUCAUGUCUUGCAUUUGUAAAUCAAACGUAGGCCGUGUUUCGCAGAAGUGAAUCAUAUGUCCUCCCUAACACCAUUAUACCAUGCGGUAUCUGCAUUGAUCCUCAUACAAUUUUGUGCAUAUCUCAAUAUGUCACACCCUAAAACCAUCAAAAAUAGAGAUGACAAACACAGCCUCAAACCAAACUCAAUCCGCCUCCUAAAAGUCCUCAUAGUAGCGUUCUCACUCUACUAGCCACUAACCCAAAUCCCUGAAAAGAUUAUGAAGGAGGGGUGUGAGCAAUCAUAACUUAAUAAGUUGUGUGUAUUUCUUCUAAGCAGAUCAGGCACUCACCAAGCACUUUACAAAACAAUGUGAAAACCUAUUUAUCUAAAUUUAAGUAUAUAAUACUCGUGUAUAUUAGAAAACAUUCAUUAAAUCAAUAAUAUCAUAACAAAUAUCCAUGUCUGGUCCAUUAAUCAAUCUCAACAAUUUACAUAUCAAUGGUCUAUUCUAUUUUUUAUUUAAUCAAAUCACACGUCAAUAGUCCAUUCAUUGACCAAUAUUUUGUUCAAUAUUAAACUAUGAUCACGAUACAAUAUCUAGUGAUAAAACAAUCAAAAUUUUCUCUUGAUAAGAUCUCCACCUACUAUCAAAUUGUGACUUGGUCCAGAUGGAUUCUAAACUAGUAUACGCUUACCCAUAAGCCAAUCAAUGGACUAACAAUGAUAUCAAGCAUCACAAACUCACAACGGUAUUCUUCACGAUUCACAAAGCCAUUCAAAAUCAAUAUCACAAAACAGUUUCAUAAACCAAAAUAUAUAAUCUUUCUCAACCCAUUCAUCAAACAUAAUACAUCUUACGACACGUUUCUCAAACCAUUUUCAAAUCCUUUUCAUAAACUAGGUUUACAAUUCAUUAUAUAUCAUAUCAUUUCGCAACACAUUUUUUAUUACAUUUUCCAAACCACUCUCAAAUACUAAAACGUAGUACAUGCUCGAUCCAAAUUUUUAUAAAAUAAGCAGACUCUUUCAUAACUUAUAGCAUAUCAAAAAUGUAUUGCUUUUAAGACAUGAGUUUAAAAAUUCAUAGAAGAGAUAACACAAAUCACUUAGGAAUAUCCAAACCAACCAAUGCGUAGCUAAACGAAGCGACGAUAUCAUAAUCCUAUCAAUUAAAUGAGAAUUGACGUUAAUCAAGUAAAAUACUACAACAUUACAAAUUGACUAAACAAACGUUUAAACACUAGCAAAACAACCCAAGCACAUUAAUAAAUUGCAUACUCAAAGCAACUAUUCAAGCUAUUCAUAAUGCGAAAUUCAUAUACAAAAUUCUAAAAUUUUGCUCCAACUAAACCGUUGCAAAAAAAUUGUCGGUUGGUCCUGCAUUGACCUGGACCGAACUCAUAGGGUUGGUUAGGUCAUUGGUCUCAGGCUUAACUAGGUCAAUCCUUGAUCCCGAAAAUUAGGAACCGACACUAUGCAAAUUGGUCCAUGGGUUAAAUGCUAGAGCAACUCCUAUAUGCGAUGCCUUGCAAUACGUAACCGGUUGGACUAGACAAACUUUCGUGGCGUGUACGCGAAAUCUCUUUUUCCCUCCUCUUCUUUAUUUCCUUUUUCUCUUCUUCUUUCUUUCUUUUCUUCUCUCUUCCGGCCACUCUCGGCGUGCGCUCUCCUUUCCCUUUUAUAUGGGCUGAACGUGCACUUUUCUCUGACUUUUCAACGCCCUCUUGUUUUAAACCUCACACCUUUUGACAAGUCAAAACCAGCGUAUUCCACAAUCUAUGUUCCUCUCACGUUUUCAGAGAUUUAUAAGCACCACAAAUUGUUCUGCAACAUGUAGCGUAUACCGUAAUUUGCCUAGUCCAUGGUGCUUUUAUUAUUUCAAUGACAUGAUAUGAUCAGUAAACGUAUUGAAAGGGUCCAUUGUCACGAUUUAACCUCUUUUAGACUCGGAUUCGGCAUUAAAUUUUGGACAGGAGGCAUCUAGUCAACUCCAUAUUAUGAUCCUAUCUUGCGGUUGACUUUAAGCAGUUUUUUGGCGGUUCAAACGAAAGAGUCCAAUUCACGGCACAAGAUGACAAAACUCAACUUACAACCUGCACUUAGAAACGAAACGAAACUCAACCACAAGAUGCACCCGGAGACCUUUUAUCCCCUCAUUUUGCAUCCACUCUGCUCUCUCUCAGUUCUCCCUUCCGAGUUCCAAAAUGGAGACCUUAUCAAGCUGCGUCCCCUCCACCCUCCACCUCAACAAGCUCCCCUCCUCCUCCCUGCAUCCCUCCUCCUCCUCCUCUCAUCAUCUCCACUUCAUCUCCCACCGACCCCCAACUGCUGCCACCGCCGCAACUGCCCCUAAUUUCCUCUCUUCUUCAUCCCUUCACUCUUCCUCGCCCUCUAAUUCUCUUUACGGCAUCAGCGGCAACGCCGACAAUUGUGCAUUAUCUCCUGUCAAGGUCCACAGAAAAGCCGCGACUGGCUAUGCCGCAGCUCUCAUAGACGCAGCUCAAUGCAACCAAUCCCUCGGACGAGUCGAGUCCGACGUCCGCAGGCUGUCCCUGUUGCUCCGCUCCGUGCAGCUCGGAGAAAUCUUUGGCAACCCUUUUGCGAGCCACGCCGACAAAGAAAGGAUUCUCAAGGAAAUAUCCAAGCAAGGGAGGUUCCACAGGCACCUGGUUGCCCUGUUGAAGAUGUUCAUACGCAAAAACCAUCUCGAAAUGGUCGGCGAGGUGUUGGAGGAGUUCAAGAGGAUCUACCGCGACAUGAUGAGUGGAUCGGGAGCAGCAGCCUUGUCAUUGCCGGCGAUGAAAAGGGUCGACGCCACUGAUGUAAGGAGAUCAUUCACGGUUGAUGAGGCCUCAGGAUCUUUUGCCAUGUGAAGUCAUAUGUCGUCUGUUUGUGGUGGUUGGGCAGUUUUCGUCACAGCCCUGUAUUCUGGUAUUUCAAUCGACUGUGUCGAUUUAUUAGUACAUCGUCGAUGCACGUUUGCAGACAAUUUAGCUCAUCAACUAUCCGAGGAUCAAUCGAAAUGCAUGCUUAAUUACAUCCUACAGCCUAGAUUUUAUCGUGAACUUGUCAAAAGCUGAUGUGAUUAAUUCGAACACGUGCGGUGAGGGACCCUGAUAUUUUCUCGUCUGUCCGAUUAAUCGUUGCCCGAACAGAGGAUACUCACUGUCCCAUUCGCAACGCCCCCUCGCGGCGCUCGAUUGAGAUGUGGAGAUGCACCCGCCGCGGCCACCUCAACGGCGGUCGCGCCGCCGUCGCCCCCUCCGCCCUCGCCGUCCACUCGCUGCCCGACGCCGAGCUCGGCAGCGCCCCCGCCCUCGAUCUCAACUCCUACACGGUGACGCCGCCCAUCAAGCCCUGGCCCAAGCGCCUCUUCCCGAAGCGCCUGGCCUCCAUGGUGAGCCGCCAGCAGAACCUCGACCUCGCCCUCCAAAUCUUCGACUACGCUGGCAAAUACCACCGGGGCUUCUCCCACAACUACGACACCUAUCUCUCCAUCAUCCAACGCCUCUCCCGCGCCCGCGCCUUCGAGCCCAUGGAAUCCCUCCUCUCGCAGCUCCGGGGCUCCCGCAUCCCCUGCGGCGAGAACGUCUUCAUCUUCGUCAUCCGCAAUUACGGCCUCGCGGGCAAGCCCAGGUUGGCCCUCCGGACGUUCUUGGGCAUUGACGGCUUUGGCGUCCAGCGUUCCGUCCGAUCUUUGAACACUCUGCUCAACGCUCUGGUCCAAAACAAGCGCUUCGAUUUGGUCCACACGAUUUUCAAGAACUCCAAGACCAAAUUCGGGGUUGUCCCCAACGUGUUCACCUGCAACAUUCUGAUCAAAGCGCUCUGCAGGAAGAACGAUGUGGAGGGCGCGCUCAAGGUGUUAGACGAAAUGCCCUCCAUGGGCAUGAUUCCUAAUGUGGUCACUUACACCACCGUUCUGGGUGGGUAUGUGUCUCGCGGGGAUAUGGAAGGUGGUAAGAGGGUGUUUUCCGAGAUUCUAGACCGCGGGUGGCUGCCGGAUGCCACUACCUACACCAUUUUGAUGGAUGGGUAUUGUAGGUUGGGGAGGUUGGUCGAUGCCAUUAAGGUUAUGGAUGAUAUGGAGGAAAUGGGAGUUGAGCCCAAUGAUGUGACUUAUGGGGUUAUGAUUGAAGCCUACUGCAAGGAGAAGAAGUCCGGUGAAGCUCGCAACUUGCUCGACGAUAUGCUCGAGAAGAAGUAUGUACCAAGCUCAGUGCUUUGCUGUAGAGUAAUUGAUGUUUUGUGUGAGCAAGGUAAGGUCGACAAUGCCUAUGAACUAUGGAAGAGGCUUUUGCACAAGAACUGUAUGCCAGAUAAUGUCAUAUCGAGCACGCUUAUAUAUUGGCUCUGCAAGGAAGGGAAGAUUUGGGAUGCCAAGAAGCUCUUUGAUGAAUUUGAGAAAGGAUCUAUUCCCAGUGUGUUGACAUACAACACACUUAUUGCCGGAAUGUGUGAGAGGGGCGAGUUGUGCGAGGCAGGGAAGCUAUGGGAUGACAUGGUGGAGAAAGGGCAUGUUCCCAAUGCUUUUACGUAUAACAUGUUAAUCAAAGGGUUCUGUGAGUUGGGUAAUGUGGAUGAAGGCAUAAGAAUUUUCGAGGAGAUGGUGGAGAAAAGUUGCAUGCCGAAUCAAUCCACUUACUAUAUAUUGAUUGAGAGUCUCUAUAAUGUAGGAAGAGUAGAAGAAAUCUCCAGGAUUCUGUCGACCGCCAUUUCUUGUCAAUCACUUGAUAGUGAUUCUUGGGAGUUUUUGGUAGCGAAGUGUAUCCGUAAUUUGGACAGGGGGGAUGGGCAUGUUGAGAGAGUGAUGUCAGAGAUUUCUACUUUCUGAUAUCAGUCAAUACGGAUUACCAUCAGGAAUUUGAGUACCAGGAUUCACGUCUCAACUGUCCGACCUCCUUGCUUCCUUAAGCAAUGUACGCUAUAGACAUGCGAAAGUUUCUAGUGCAUAUAACUCUAGAGAAUUUGAACUGAUAAUUGCAGUUUGUCUUGGUGCGGGAGAAAACCACGAUGCUAACGAGAAGAAAAUGUAGGUUUGAUUGCUCAAGCUGUGCUGGCUUCCAGUUACUGCGUUGCAACUGUGACGCAUGGACAGGACCUGGAUUAAGCUUUCUAGGACCUUAUAGACUACCAGCUUGCAGGGUGAUUUCAUUAUAAUUCAGAAAUAAAAGUUCCCACUCGGGGUUCUUGGGCUGCAUAUUUGGAGUGAUUGCCCAGACUUGCCCCGAUGCCUUCCUCUUUGACUGAUGAAGACAUUGAAGUGGUUGCCUCAAAUUUUUGGCAGCAGGAAUCAUAUGCUCUCUCGCUCGCUCAUGAAGAGCUUUAAAUUAGUCUUCUUACCUUUGAUAGAUGUAAAUGUUUGUAAAACGACACACCUGAUUUAUUUAGAUCAAGUUCUUUCUUUCAGCAAGUUCCAUGUCUGCAUGGUGACGAUAGCAGUUUUGUUUUUACGACUAUAGCAAUUUCUUUGUACAAAAUUGUCGAAGUAAACAACGUGUUGCAUCCAGGAUUGAUCUUGUCCAAAGUAAAACCAUAGGUGCGCAAAUUCCUUGUAAACGCUGAACGAACAAGACAUAGGGUGUGUUGUUUGAAUAAAAGAAUCUUUCCCUCUAGACUUUCACGCAUUUUUUUGCUGAAAAUGAUUCAUCAAUGGAAAACAUAUGCGAUCAACAAAAAAUAUGGAAUGCUUCAAAGGUUAGGAAAACAAAUUUCCUAAACCGAAAAAGUGGCUCCAGCGACUGUGCUAUGCGGAGGUUGUGGCUGGCAAUAUAGCUGUUCCACAGGUUCCCAUGGUUUCUCUUGGGUGAUUUGUGUUUUCAGGCGAUACUUCACAACAUCCUAUGAACCGAUUGAGACAAAUUCAUGCCUACACGCUCAGGAACGGCAUAGACAACACCAAACGUCUCAUCGUCGAGCUCCUUCAGAUCCCAGACAUCUCCUACGCCCACCGGCUCUUGGACCACGCUCCCAACCCAACUCUCUUCCCCUUCAACAAGCUUAUCCAGGCCUACUCCUCUCAACGCCAACCCCUCCAAUGCCUCCACCUCUACUCCCGAAUGCGCCUCCGUGGCUGUCCUCCCAACCAACACUCCUUCACUUUCCUCUUCGCCGCCUCCGCCUCCCUUUCCUCGCCUCUGCCGGGCAUGAUGCUCCAUACCCAUUUCGUCAAGUCCGGUUUCGACUUCGAUGUCUUCGCGUUGACGGCUCUGAUCGAUAUGUAUGCUAAGCUUGGCGAACUCGGAUCAGCUCGUCAGGUGUUCGACGAAACGCCCAUGAGAGAUACACCCGUCUGGAACUCCAUUGUUUCUGGCUACGCGAAACGCGGGUACAUGGUGGAAGCUUUGCAGUUGUUCAGGAGAAUGCCUUGUAAGAAUGUGAUCUCAUGGACGUCCAUCAUAUCGGGUUACUCGCAAAACGGGCACAGUGAGGAUGCCCUGAAGAUGUUUCUAGAGAUGGAAGAGGGGGGCUUUAGACCGAAUGAAGUUACCGUAGCUAGUGUUCUCCCAGCUUGCGCGAAUCUUGGUGCUCUGGAGAUUGGGGAAAGGAUUGAAACAUAUGCAAGAGAAAAUGGUUUUUUCAAGAACAUCUAUGUGUGUAAUGCUUUAUUGGAGAUGUACGGCAAGUGUGGUAAAAUUGAUGCUGCGAGGAGGGUGUUUGAUGAGAUUGGAAGCAGAAGGGGAUUGUGCUCCUGGAAUACGAUGAUCACUGGCUUGGCUGCCCACGGAAAGUGCAAUGAGGUUCUUGAGCUCUAUGACCUGAUGCUGGUAAGCUGUCAUCCUCACUAGUUUCUUCUCAUGAAUUGAGGUCCAGAUUUCCUGUUAAUAUGUUUACUGUCUCCAAAUUUAUUGUGCACUAGAGUGAAGGAAUCAUACCAGAUGACAUCACAUUUGUGGGACUUCUCUUGGCAUGCACCCAUGGAGGCUUGGUCGAAGAAGGCAAACGGCUGUUUAAAUCAAUGGGAACCGAUUAUGGGAUUUCUCCAAAACUAGAGCACUAUGGUUGCAUGGUUGAUCUUCUAGGUCGUGCUGGCAAGUUGCAAGAAGCUCGUGAUCUUAUCCGAAGUAUGCCUAUGAAGCCAGAUUCUGUGAUAUGGGGUGCUCUUUUAGGAGCCUGCAGUUUCCAUGGCAACGUUGAAUUUGCUGAGGAGGCAGCAGAGUCCCUCAUUGAGCUUGAGCCAUGGAACCCGGGAAAUUAUGUCAUCCUAUCUAACAUAUAUGCAUCAGUGGGCCGAUGGCAUGGAGUCGCAAAGCUAAGGAAGAUGAUGAAGGGAGAAAAUAUAACAAAGGCAGCCGGAUAUAGUAUCAUUCAAGAGGGAGGAGAAAUCCACAAGUUUAUAGUCGAAGAUAAGUCGCAUGUAAAAUCGAGUGAAAUUUACGCCGUGGUGUGGGGUAUUUCAGCUGCAAUGAAGAUUCAAAAACAGCCAACGGAUUUUGAAUGUGAACUUGUAGAGUUCUGAUUGAUGUUAUUCUUUGGGUAUUUUCUCUUUUGCAAGAGACACUCCUAGAAAGUAAUUAUUCCGUGUAAUGCUGCCCAAAGUACAAGUAUUAGCUCUUUCGGUUUUCUUUUUUUUUUUUUUGUUAAAUUGGGUAAGCGUCCCAAGGUACACAGUUGACAUACUUUGUCCACUUUAACGUAGUGCAAUAGUCGACCUCCAAGAUUGUACUCAAAGCACUCGACAUAAAAUUCUCAAACCCACUGACAGCAGUGGGACGCAGCAAGUUAUUGCUCAUGCAAAGCUAGGCAACGAGGGAUACCGAGCUGCUAAUACAAAAUAGUGGGAAACGAACAUUUCCAGAUAUUCAUCUUAUUCAAUAACGGACAGAUUGAUCUCUUUUGACUUUUGCUGUUGUAAGAAAUUUAUGAACUUUAAUUCACACAAGAACUGUUUAAAAAGGCUCCCAAAUAAGUUAGUACAGUUGUCGUUUCCUUCGUCACACUGUCAAGCUAGCUGUAGAUUAUGCACUCUUCUCUUUUGUUCUCCUUCUUCGACUCCUUCCCAGCAACUUAAGAACCUCAUCAAUAAGGACCACCGGUGCAGAAAUCAAUAUGACCAGCACCCACUCGCUCAAACUCAAAGGAACAAUUCCAAACACAUCGGCGAGGAGUGGAACAUAGAGAAUAAGACAGUGAAGCCCAAAGGAGAUCGACAUGGCCAGCAAAAGCCAAGGGUUUUUCCAAGGAGGCAUUGUGAGCAAGCUGUUGUCUUCCGACAAGGCAUUUAAGGAAUUGAACAUCUCAAUUGCCACCAAGACAGAGAGUGAUAGAGUCAUGGCUUUCACUUUACCAACCGUGAAGUAGUCACAAGGAUUGACAAAGGCGAUCAUCUGUCCCCCACUCACAGUGAAAGGAGUCACGGUAAAAUUUGACCAUGAGGAGCACUCUCCCCAGUUGCGAAGCUGAGAAAGUUCAAUCAGUGUAUGGCCAUCACUGACAAGAUUGAUACCCAGAAAAGAUGGCUGCGUGUACCACAGGAUGAAGAUGCCGACAGUUGCCAUGCCCACAUACAUGCCAAUCACCUGUAAAAAUUUUAAGCAUAGAGUGUAAACUACCUCAAAAGUAACAAUACUUUUCAACAUCGACACAUGGUGGUAAAUCACUUCUGAUUCCCAACAUUGCAAAGUGCCACAGCAAUUAAAAAGAGGAUUGGGCGGUUUUGUCGUUCAGCGACAAUUGCAGUAACACUUAAAAUAUGCGAGUCAACUCGUAAAAACUGAAGUAACAUUUCAUGAACUAAGAUGCUAAUUGGAUGAAUAUAGAUGCAAUGGUAGGUCAGAUAGUAUCAAACAAUACUGACCAAGUAGCGUAAGAGAACCCAAGGUGUGAUCAAUGCAUCAUCACUUUUGCGGGGUGGCUUCUGCAUGAUAUCAACAUCAGCAGGGUUAAAACCAAGAGCAGUAGCAGGUGGCCCAUCGGUGACCAAAUUUACCCACAGAAGCUGCACAGGUAUCAUACAUUCUGGUAUACCCAAUGCAGCAGUCAAGAAAAUGGAAAUGACCUCGCCGACAUUUGACGAAAUCAUAUAACUGCACAUUGAAACAAGACCUUCAUUUUCUAACCACAUAGCGGAAGAAAUGUGAAUUACGCGUCUAAUAGCAAGAUACUCACCGAAUGAAAGCCUUCAUGUUAUUGUAGAUAGAGCGACCUUCUGCCACCGCUGAUACUAUGGUACCAAAAUUAUCAUCUGCCAAAACCAUAUCUGAAGCUUCUUUUGCCACCUGUAGGUACACACGCAGGAUUAAUAAUGUCAUCUUCUACUUGCUUUGAAAAUAAACAUUUCAUUAGCCCGGGUUAUGGGAGGAAUACAAGGAAAACACAAGGAUAAUGACAUUUCGGAGAAAUAAGCAACUGCUGUUCCUAGAGCAUCCUUCAAAAAGCAAUGUGUAGUAAUUUAAUCUUAAUAAAAGGGCACAGGCAAAUAAUUAGACAAUUUUAGAAUCUUCUGAGCUGACCUCUGUUCCUGUUAUGCCCAUGGCAAUACCAAUGUCAGCAAGUUUAAGUGCAGGUGCAUCAUUCACUCCAUCACCAGUCAUUGCAACAAUCUGUCCCAUCUCCUUCAGCAUUCUCACAAUUUCUUGCUUGUGCCUAGGUUCCGCUCGAGAAAAAACAAUUCCUCCAGGUCUUUUCAGAAUUUCAGUCUGCUUCGAAGGAGAAAGAUCCAUGAACUCUUUACCUGUGAAACUUCUGCCCCGUAGAUCAUUUUCAGCGAGCAAUCUAAUUUCCUGGCAAAUGGCCUCAGCUGUGGACUUGUUAUCGCCAGUUAUCACCAUGACCUUAAUGCCUGCUCUUCGACAAUCCUCAAUAGCCUUGUCUAUAUCAUCACGCGGAGGAUCCUGUUGAAAGAGAUUGCGAGUCAACAAUCAGAAAAUUAUCACAACUGCAACAUCUGGAGGUAACACUGACCAAGUAGAUGUGAUGCUUACUCGUAAUCCAACAACUCCUACAAAAACUAAGUCACUUUCAACUGAGGAGUAGAAGGCAGGGUCCAGCAACUUCCCAUGGGCUGGAUGGCUGUCAUUGUUGUAGUCCGAAAAUUCUCCGAGGUCAUCCUUAUAUGCCAAUCCCAAGCAUCGCAGCCCCUUUGAAGACAUCUCCAUAAGUUUUGAAAGCAGUAGUUCCUUACAAGGUUCAUCAAUGGGAACAAGAGAUCCAUCUGCCAGUUGAACGUGCGAACUACGAUCCAGUAAGCUCUCCACAGCUCCCUGCAUAUGACACGACAAACAAUUCAUGAGCAACACUAGACGAAUACAGGCAAGUACUUGAAAAGCUAACCCGAGAUGAAUUUCCUUUCAGAGAAAUACAUGGUAGUGCAUCAAAAAAGGGAUACUGCGAACCAAUUCAUCACAACCUAGAGAUUGGAUAUAAGAGUCCUCAUGAUAUUGCUUCAACAGAGUGAAAUAAAAACCAUGGGUUCCACAUUAUCGAUAUUUUGGCUCCUUGCCUAAAUCAAGGGCUGAAAAAAAAUUCCAUGGGGUUGACAGCUUCAUAUAAAAAUACUACUGAAAGCAUGGUUUACAGACACUCGAUCCAAGUUAAUUCUAGAACUUUGUACUUAAAAAUAAGAUAAGAAAGAAGCAUGACUUUACCCUUCGAUUUACCAAAUUGUGUUAACUUUGACAGAGCAAUAUCAGAAAUAUAAGAUCAUGAAAUGCAUCUAUAAUAGCCAAUCUUCUACAGUAGCAUAUUAAGGAUUGAUCAAACCUAGAACCAAUGGAGAAUCAAGGCAGAUUUUUUAACUACUCUGGUGGACUUCCAAUAAGGCAUCCGAGGAAGUCAAUCUUCUGGGAACACAAAAACCACCAAGUAUUUCUACAUGUUUGAAUUUGACACCUGGUUGACUUUUAACUUGCAAACAUGAAUAAAGACGCAUCCUGCAUAUUAGAAGCUACUACAUAACACUGUUCUGUUAUUCACCUUUACAAGAAGGCGAUUGCGCCCUGUUGGCUCCCGGGCAAUGACACUCAUUGAUUUCCGGAUGCGAUCAAACUCCAAAGUGGCAAUUCGUCUUGACCUUUUGUUCCACCAAUCACAACAGCCUAUAUUGAACCAGACUCGUGAGAUAUACAGUAGAGUUGUAUGACUUCAAAUUGUAUACCGAGCAAGAAACAGAUCAAUCCUCACCUAAAUUCACUGAUCUGCUAUCAAUCAAGUAGUUUGCAGCCAGCCUCGCAUCACGGAUUUUGUUCCUGAUCGUAGCAUCUGGAACUCCCAUUUUUUCAACUAAAACCUUGAGAGCAGCCUCAGUUGGCAAUCCUGUGGCUCGGAAAAGACGACCUUCACUAUAUAUCCCAGAGUCAUUGCAAACUGCACAGAUUUCUGCGACAGCUUGUAAGUUGGCAUCCAUGUUGUAGCAGUUCCAAUCAACAAUACCGCCAUCUUUCGGAUCAUAGGUCGUGCCUUCUACAUAGAAAAUCCGUGAUGUGGUGGUCUUCCCCCCCAAAGUGAAAAAUUCACUAACAGACAUCUGAUUUGUGGUUAAUGUUCCUGUUUUAUCAGAGCAAAUCACAGUUGUGCAUCCUAAAGUUUCUACACUAGGAAGCUUCCGCACUAUUGCGUUCUUUUGUGCCAUCUUCCUGGUUCCUAAAGCUAAACUAGUCGUAAUAACUGCAGGGAGACCUUCUGGAAUUGCAGCAACAGCAAGGGCAACUGCAAUUUCAAAAUAGUAGGUGCACUUCUGGAAUGAGAACUGCACAUUUGCAGGCCACCCAUCCACAACCUCCCAUGAGAGGAAGUUUCUGUAGUUUGUAAUCCAUACGAUGAGACAAACAAGCCCAAUCGCAGUGGUAAGCCUGCCCCCAAAUUCAUCCAGCUUCUUUUUCAAGGGAGUGUCCGUCUCUUCCAGAGAAGCCUCGUGUAUUUGCUUUUGAAUUUUCCCAAGCUCAGUGUUCAUUCCGGUGCUUACAACAACACACAUGCAGGUCCCAUUGACAACUACAGUACCGGAAAAAACCAUAUUUUCCUUGGCUUGCAACUCACAGUCGACCAUAGCGAUAGGACUAGUUCCUUUCAGAACAGGUAUUGCCUCACCAGUCAAUGAGCUCUGCUCCACUCUGAAUGUCAAUGUCUUCAGCGAAACGACUCUCAUAUCAGCCGGGACCUUGUCCCCAACCCUUAAUUCUAUUAUAUCCCCUGGAACAAGCUCCCUCGCAGGCAAAUCAGGGACCAAGUACCCAUCCCUCAGAACUCUUCCAGAUUCACACUGCAUCUCCUUGAGGGCAUGAAGUGCCUUUUCUGCAGUACUUUCUUGCCACACGCCAACAAUGGCGUUAAGCACCAAAAUCAACAUAAUCACAAAGGGUUCAACAUAUGCCUCAAAACCAGAAUCAACCGACUCACUUCCAUGCAUGUAGGCUAAGAUGAACGAAAUAAACGCCGCACCCAAAAGUAUCUUAACAAGGAUAUCAUCAAAUUGAUCUAGGACGAGCCGCCAUAAAGGCUUUCCCUUCUCUUUGGAAAGUUCAUUCCAGCCAUAUCUCUCACGCAGCUUCUCAACCUCAUAAGAGCUAAGACCCUUGUCUAGUUUCACUUUGUAUUCCUUUAGACACUGCUCUACCGAGCAUGACCAUGCUGGAAAUGGCCUUUCCUCCAUUGACCAUCCACUAUGAAGUCGAGUUUCGCGGACAGUAUGAAGCUCAGACCGAAGUUACCAAGAACUCAUCCGAGCGCACCUAUGACCACAAAAUGAACUUAUGGUGUUAACACGAACAAUCUAAAAGCAAGAGAGCUCUCUACUUAAUGGAGAGAAGGUAUUAUUGUCCAACAAUGUGAAGCCGGGCCCGAAGAAACUGGCCGUUUCUUCUCAAAUUGCAACUGCCAUAAAGUUCUCUACGCGGACUACCAAAAGCCAGUUACGAAAAUUGAUUUACAACGGAUCUACUGAGACAUGCAGAAACCAAAGAAAUUCUGUAUAAGAGACUAACCUGACUGUAUGACUCCCUACCAAAACAAGGAGCGAGACCGCCAGGCACGAACGCUAAAACUGCAAACAACAGAGAAGAGAAGUUGAAAACUGAAAUACACUCGAGCAGAGGCAGAGCCGGACGUUUAGCAUUCUAGCUAAAGAACUUACCAAGCCAAAGAACCCAGCAGGAACUUGGCGUCACAAGAGAAGAGGGAGAGCUUUAAAAGCACGAGAAAGGCGAGGCAGUAAGCACCGCGGAAGGUGGGAUGAGGAGCUUCACAGGCAAGUCGAACGAGAAAAGAAGCAGGCUUAUAGACAACGCUAAACCCCAAAAGGAGAAAUUCUUGGGUUCCCUCUGUUUACCAUCAUCUUCAAGACACCAGCCGACUGCGAUGCGUCGCAAAAUUUGAACUUGCGACUGGGUUUCGUCUUUUGCUUUUUCUCAGAGAAUCACAGAAGCCACCCCAAACGAAUCUACUCUCUCUCUCUCUCUCGAACGAGAAUAAUUCCCACGACGCUGAACGGUUACAAAGAAAGGAUUUUGAACGAGGCACGUCGUUUCGACAAUAAAACGGAUUUUAAUCCCCGGGAAGUUGACUUUACGUAGGGCUAAAUGAAAGUACUAAUCAGUUUGACGCGCGACCGGUCGCGCGUCCCCGUACUCUCACACACAGACAGACACAGUGGAAUCCUAAGGAGCAGAAACUUGCUGGAGACGUCACGACGAGAUAACGCCAAAAUUUGAACGUUUCACUGAAGAAAGACACAAAUUAGUACUCCUAGAGUCCUCCGCCUUUAGCAAAGUAUCUCUAGAACCAUCCCAGAAAUUGAACUAACCUUACCUUUUUUCAUGUUCUUGUUGAGUCAUGCUCGGGUGACGAAACAUAUUCGACUCAAUUUCGCUCGACUCAGCCUUGUCCCGAUCGGCAUCGUUGGGAUAACUUUUAGCCUUCUUUUUUUUUUUUUUUUAAUGUUUUGGUUAGACUGAGUAGCUGUACUAACAGUCUACGAGAUAUGCCAAUUAGUUCCGUCUUCCAAAGAAUAGUAGAAUCCUAUUGGUUUGGUCACUUGAUAAAACUAAAGAUCAUUACUUUGCUUGUCGUUUGUACAUGUGCUGAGUUCCAAACUUGUAGAGGAAGUUGAUUCGGGCAUAUGGUCGUUGGGGUGGCUGGAUCCAGCUCCAAUAAUCAUUGCAUCUAAAGCAGAAAAAGGGGGAUUAAUAGAAUACGACCGUGGAACCAAAAGUUAAAAAUUAAGAAAAUGGGUGGUGACAGGGAAGGGGGCCGAGAUAUGGACCAUUAAUAAUGCCUCCUUUCUGGUUAAGUUAAUUUUGCUCCGCCUAUUGGGCCGGCGGCGUGCGUGUUACCAUACGAUAAACAAAUGAAUUUCUCUUUCUGCGAUUCUUAUAUCUUAUGUUUACUUUUGGGGACUGAAAUUCCACGAAGCUUCUUAGUACCCACCCCCGCAGUUCCCCGACACUUCACGUGACGUCGUCGGUUCCGUCAUCCGAUGGCGAAUAUCGCUUUUCUGAAUAUCGUUUAUAAAAAUAAAAAUAAAAAAAUUGUGGCUCUCCUUCUCCCUUCUGACAUUUGAGCUUCACCAUAUCUAUUUUGAGAAAAUUAUCCAAAACACUAGAAUUAUUUUGCGACCAUUAAUUCACUUCCAAACAUUUCAAGCAUACAAAUUCUCCUCAAACUUAUCAAAUUUAGAUUUAAACUUUUUAAUUGAAUCAAUUUAGUCUUAAAUCUCUUUAAUGAUUUGUCAAACUUAGUUAUUCCUAAUUAACGCCGAAUCUUCUAUAUGAUAUAGUCGAUACUAACGUACUCAAUUUGUUAUAAUUUUUUUAAUCUUUAUGAACUUUAUUCUUUCUUUCUUUCUUUUUUUCCUCUUCUUCUUUUUUCCAUUUUCCCUCCGUCGAGCCUCGUUGAUGACCACUCCCUCGGCCUCAGGUAAGUGACACUCACACCUGGGUUGCCCUCAUCAAGGGCCAAGAAUGCAGCCAUAGCCUCAUGCUAACAAAGGGCAAAAAAAAAAGAAGGAAAAUCAGAAAAUUUAAAAAUUCGUUCGCAUCAAUACUGAUCAUGCCACAUAAAACAGUUGAUACUAAGUACACCGUCAUGUCAACGAUUUCCAGUUAAAAUCGAUCGAAAUAACUAAAUUAGCAAAUCGUUAAAAUGUUUAAAACUAAAUUGACAAAAUUUAAAAAUGUAUAACUAAUUUGACAAGUUGUCAAAAAGUCAGGAUUAAGCUAACACAAUUAAAAGGUUUAAAUUUGAAUUAGCCAUCACAUGAUAAAUUAAGUACUAUUUAGACAAUUUUCAACCAUUCCAUCACUCAAUUUGUAAGUAGAAAACCAAGUUGAAAAAGAGGGUGGUGGGCAUGUUGUGUUAGUGGAUGGCCAUAUUGGAGGUCGGUUGGUGAAUGAAGUUGGCCUGCUGCGACUGGGAGUCUCCUGCCAAUGGACUCGUUGCCACGCCUUUGCCUCCUAAGGGGAACUCGAUAGUUUGCUUUCAGAGUCAUUAUUCAACCCCCUACUUUCCUAUUGCGAAGGCAUAUUGGUAGGGCCCGCAAUGGCUCGAGUGUGCCCCUCUCUUCCUUUUUCUAGUCAAAGGUUUAGGUGGGGAGGAGCCACAACAGGUACGGGGUUCAAAAGCAAUCCCAGGAAAACGGAAAAGGAUGAUUCGACUUCCGACGAAAAGCAACGAGGGGGACCUCGCUAGUCUAGGAACUUGACUUUUUGUCAUGCCUCCAGGUUUCUCGCGCGCUUGGAGAACCGUUCCUUGACUUGACUUGAUUCAGGCAAAAAUGCUUGCAGGAUAAGCUUACUCAUUUUUCUCUUGUGCUGAUGAGGGAGGUCUAGAGUUACUUUUAUUUUUUUUACGUAAAUCUAGAGCGACGUUAGUAUGGGGACCCACCUCCCACGGCACUGUACUUAAGUCGCGCAAAUGCGACUGCGGUGGUUUGAACCUCCCCCAACCGGAAGAGGGGCGAACGCCGAACCAACGCAUCCACAGCGGGGUGAAUAAGUUACUUCAUAGUAUCGAGAAGCAAAAAUGGUGAAAGAAACCUUUUUGAGGACUUUGUUACUAUCGUUAACAAGCUUGAUCGACAAAAAUCGUAAACUCUUGGUUUGUAAUCUACCUUUUGCUUAAUUGUGUUCUAAAUUAUGUGGCGAAACGCCUCGGAUCUAUUUUAAUGAUGGCCAACUAAUGAGUUUGAGUAUAAUGAAGAAAAACAUUCACAGAAAAUGUUCUGUCAGAAAAUAAUUUUUUCCAGCAUUAAAAUAUAAGUCAACUGAAAAUCUUUUUCAUUUUCAAUAGUAAACUAAUAAUUAAAUUCAGUAAAGUUGAUUUUCUUUUUUAAGGAUUAAAAAUCAUUUUCUAAGGUAUGACUAAAUAUCGGCACUUAAACCAAAGACCUCGACACGUGGACAUGAAAACCUUGAUGCCCGUGUCCAAGUUCUCAACAGCAUAGCUCGAGUCCAUAGACGUUGGGCCUAGGUCCAUAGAUGCCAAGCCUAUGCUUUGGGUCCCCAAUCCCGAGCAAAGAUUGGAUCCACAAAAGCCACGCAAAUGCCUAUAGAGCCUAGUGCUUGGGUCUGAGUCCUCAUUGGUCAUACCUAAGUACUCGGCUCCCAUGCUCAAGUCAUCAACGUCUAAGCUUAGGUCCAUUAAGGUUGAACCUAGGUCCAUAGAGAUUGGCCAUUGACCCAAAUGCCAAUGCUUGAGUCUUUAGCAGCCAUGCCCAAGUAGCCCACUCUUGUGUCCAAGUCACUAACACCAACCCUACGUCCAUUAAGGCCAAGUCUGGAUCUUUGGUAACCAUGCUUGAGUACCUAGUUCCACACCCAAGUCAUCAGUAACGAGACUCGAAUCCUCAACGGCCAAGCCCAAGUCACUUGAGGCCGAGCCCAAUACCCUAGCACCCCCAAACAGGUCUCUAGCAAUUGUGCCUGAGUACUUAGAGGCCAUGCUCAAGCACUCGACUCUCAUGCUCAAAGUCAUUGGCACCCAACCCCUAGACAACAAUGCUCCUUGUCCAAGUACUCGGGGUCAAGUGCCCAAGUAUUAGGCUCCCAUGCCAAAGUCACAAUUGCCCCCCCACCUGGGUCCACAUAGGCUAGGUACUCAGUUCCUGGGUCCAACUAACGAGCACCUCAGUCUCUUGAAGUCAAGCUCCAAACCCCAAUGCCCAUGCCUAAGUCCAUAGUGGUCAUGCCUAGAUACUCGACUCCAGUGUCCAAGUUAGGGCCUAGGUCUCUCAAGACAUUGGUGCCCACACUUAGGUAAUUGGCAGCCAUGCUUGAAUACCCAGCUCAUGCGCCCAAGUCAUUGGCGUUGGGGUCCUGUUCCUUCGUGGUCAGGCUCGGUCCCUUGAGGCAAUGUCCGAGACCUUGAUUGAUAGUUCCCUGGUCAUCGUUGCCUAAGCCUGGUUCUAUCAAGGCCGAGCAUGGGUCCCUAGUGCUGGUGCUCGGGUUCCGAUUAGGGACCAAAAGGUCAUGGAAAGAUCCUCUUCCUCGACGAAACAAAUCGGAGGCCACGUGGUGGCCGAAAGAAAGAAAGGUCGGGCUUUCCUCCAAAACAUGGUGGGCCGGGCUUAGCUCAUGGGCCCAUUUUCAAGACGAAGAAAUGAAAAUCAACGGACGAAAUCCCGCCACGCUAGAGCUGCUCCAAAAGAACUUUGCGCCUCCUCCAUUCACUUCUCCUAUAAACUCCACUCCUCCUCCUCCUCCUCCUCCUCCUUCGCUUCGUCCUCUCCUCUCCGAUCCUCCGCCUCCUCUUCGAGAACUUUGUGCGCGUGCCAGGAUCGACCCAAACAUCCAAGCCCUACUCCCAAAGGUACUCGUCCUUCUUCGUCUGUAGAUCAUCCUCAGGUUCUCCAUCGAGCUCUGACGAUGCUGGUGGCGAACUCGGUUUUACUCGUAUUAGCAAUCCGGAUUUUCAUCCUCGCGAUUUCACGCUGCGUCAUCGUCUGAUGUUGCCCUGUUUCAUUUCUUGACGUUUCUUCUUUGUCGGAUGUGACGGUAGUAUCAUUCGCUUUCGUAUUUCUGACUUGAAAACGCCUGUGGCUGUGAUCUUCGGAGCGGGGUGCAAGUUUUUUUUUUUUCAGAGCAUCUUGCGUUCUCUCUUUAACCGUCGGACUCGGUUUCCUCCUCCUUGUUCUCGAUUUCGUGUUCCAGGGCGGCGAAUUAGCGAGGAUGAGGCCGGUUUUCGUGGGAAACUUCGAGUACGAUACUCGCCAGUACGAGCUGGAGCGCCUCUUCUCCAAGUACGGGAGGGUUGAGCGCGUUGACAUGAAAUCUGGUAAAUCGAUCGAUCGAUUCUGUGCUGCACGUCACCUUAUCGCAUAUGUGUGUGUAUAUAUAUUUGCAACAUUUGCUUUUCACGUGUUGUAAUCCUCUUAUGAUGGUAAAGUCUGAAUCUUUUUGGGGAGCUCGUGAUUAUGAGCCAAUGUGGAACGAAUCCGGUUCGCCCAUUUAUUACCCCUCCGCGAUUUUGCACCCGACGCUGUCUUUACUGCCUUUCCUUAGUCGCAAAUUUCCUCGGGGAGUUAAGUUGAUACCGUUUAUGGUUCCUUUCUAUGACUCAAUUGGAUAGGUUUCAUGAGUUUGGCCGUGCCUGGAACUCUAGGAAUUAUAUGCUUCCCUUGUCCUCCCCCUUUCCAAUUCCAUGUUCUUCUGAUUCAUGAUAUUUAGUUUUCAUUAAAGCCUUGUGACAUGCAAUUUUCUGUAUAUUUUAUGCACGUGUGGUGGUGAAUAUUUCCCUCGUCCCUGCUGACACUAGUUGUGGAAGUCACUUAACAUUAACCAACUUGAUAAUAUGCUAACCAGCUUGCUGGAUGUACAACUUAUCGUGUCAAUAUUAGCUGGUGCUACUUUAAUUUGGAUCUUAGGUUCAAAAAAUGAUUGCUGUUGUCUGGGAGAUAAAAAAGAAUCGAGUUUCCAUGUCCCAAACUGUUAGAAAGUAGAAUCUGGUCCUUGGCCCUUUGUUUUAUAGCCUGUCUAUUUAAGUGGGCUGCAUGUCUGGUCGGUGCUCCAAUUUAAGUCAAAAAGGAAAGAUGGCCUCUGUUUCUGAUAAUUGAAUACAGUCGCUGGGAAUUGAACCCCAUUAUAGUGCAAUUAACAUGCAUAUUGCAAUAUCACAUUUUUCAAGCGCUUGGACAGCUUGGGAACCAAAAUAAUAACAUACAAACCUGUGGGAGAAGAAUUUGGCGGCAGCCACAAAUCUGCAUUUUAUUCAGAUAAGACCUCAAUGUUUGAGUGUUUAUUUUGACCCAGGAAAUCUCUGCUAAUGGAAAAUGAGCUGAGCUGUCUGACUCAACCUAUCAUGCGUCCUUUAUCUUCUGCCACAUAUGGGUUCAACAUUCUGAUUUUUAGUAGUGUCCUUCUCUCUCCUACCUUGCUGCCAAGAGCUGCCAAUAGAAGGAGUGGUCAUGGUGGGAUCAGUAAUGUAUGCCACAUGUACAGAUACUAGGAGGAUGAAUGUGAAUGAAUCUUGCCAAUCAUGCCAUGCCCUCCAUUGCCACAAGUUGGGCUCUCUGACUGCUGAAGUAUUGUUGCCAAUGACAUCUCAGACCCGAGAAUCUGGACUGAAAUCUUUAGUAUGCCUCAGUUAUCUGGAUUUAGUUCAUCUUGCAAGACUUCUACAUCCUACUGUGUCUCCAGCCAUCGGUUAUGCACAGGCGUCGUGUAUUUUAGUUUAAACUGGGUGAAGAAACAAAAAGAAUUGGCUGAUCUUCUGGUGACUAGGCGGCAUGAUGACAAUGAUAGCAAUUCUACUACUCCCAUUGAUUCUGCCAUACCUUUGCAGGCUUUGCAUUUGUGUAUUUUGAGGAUGAGCGUGAUGCUGAAGAUGCUAUCCAUGGCCUUGAUGAUGUCCCAUUUGGUUAUGAUAGACGCAGAUUGUCUGUUGAGUGGGCCAAGGUAGGCACUUUCCUGGUCUUUUAAUAUCUGUUUCUUCAUUCUAGUGUCUUGUUUCUCCCCGGGUGGUGCAAGUGUCCUCAUGUGCCUGCUUUGAAUUGGCGUGGCUACUAUUGGGUUUCAAUACAAUGGGAUGUAUUCUUGGUUCCAGGGUGAACGUGGACGGUAUGGAGAUGGUUCGAGGUCGGUGCCGAACCAGAGGCCCACUAAAACACUGUUUGUUAUAAACUUUGAUCCCCUUCGCACAAAGGCUCGUGAUAUAGAAAGACACUUUGAGCCUUAUGGGAGAAUACUUAAUGUUAGAAUCCGGCGUAACUUUGCAUUUGUGCAGUUUGAGACACAAGAUGAAGCAACAAGAGCUCUUGAAUGCACUCACAUGAGGUAGUAUGCUGUUACAUCAAGACAAUUUUAGCCUCUGUUAUUUUCUUUUUUGUUACAAUGGUACAUGGCCUGACAUAUUUGGAUGCACUUCUGGUGUUCAGCAAGAUGUUAGAUAGGGUGGUGUCUGUUGAAUAUGCUCUGAGGGAUGAUGAUGAGAGGGAUGACUUUAGAGGAAGUUAUGGUCGGCGUGGGAGUAGUCCUUAUGGGCGAUCAGUGAGCCCUGGAUAUCGCCGUCGGCUUAGCCCUGAUUAUGGUCAUGCUCACAGCCCUGAUUAUGGUCGUGCUCGUAGCCCUCGUUAUGACCAAUACAGUGGCCCAGCUUACAGAAGUCCUGUUUAUGAUAGAAACAGGAGUUCAGAGUAUGGAAGAUAUCGCAGGUGGAAAUGAUGUUUAGAGAUCAGCACUUGAUGUUAUUUAAUGUGGCUUUCUCCGUGUGAUCUCUCCAUUAAGACCAUUUUCUUUCUUGUUCUUGCUCAAACAGCCGCACACCCAUUCGGAGAUGAAGAAGUUGGAGGCUUUUCUUCGAGGAUCAGCAUCUAACUUUUCAACCAGGCUUUUGCCGUGUCGCCUCGUGCAAGAGAUGCUCUCUCUCUCUCUCUCUCUCUGUGCAUGUGUAUUCUGAAAGUGUACCUGGCUAUGCAUAGAUUUAGUUAUCUUUUCUCGUUUCCUGGUUACCAUAGAUAUAGUUGUCAAUUAGCAUAGUUAUCCUGUUUCUCUUUGCCCGACUGAUGGAUUUUGGUCACUUGCUUCAACUAGGAGGUUUUGGCACAUUAUUUCAUAUUGGCAUGGAUAUAGUUGUCGCUUACAGCAUAAGUAUCCUAUCUCUAUUUGCCCAACCGAUAGAUUUUGUCGAUUUGCUUCAACUGAUAGGGGUUCUGGCGCACUAUAUCACAGUGUGUUGGAGAGACAUUGCUAUUGGCCUAUGCGGGGUGGUUUAUGCCCUUAUACUCUCCGUGUCGGUUAAAACAUCCAGACUGCCAUCUCAGAAGCUAUAGAAAUACUCAGUAAAAUCGACAAACCAGUCCAAAUCAAUUUUAGCAAGUACCUUUAAACUCGCAUUUCAUGAAACAAAACGAAAAACUGAGUAACUGCAAGAGCACUGUACCACUCUUUGGAGCAGCAUGAGCUAAAGUCACAACCUCUCUGGUGAGAGACCUUGGAGGUUUCAUCGUUUCAUCGUUUCAUGGCCGGACUUUAGCAACUCAGCCACAGCCUUAGAGUUGCUGUUAAACUUGGUUUUUGGCAAAACCUGCUGAUUAUUUUUAGUAAGAGAUAUGAAAGUCAAUGAGUGCUCCAAUUUCUGAAGCACCAAUCUGUCUAAUAACUUGACAGGCCAACUGAUCAUCCAUCUCUUAUGUGGAUAACCAAUACGUGAAAUUUACAUUUGUGACGAUUCUUUACAGAGGAGGAUGAAAUCGAGAACCGUUCAAUCGACUCGUGGGGGACUAGGGAAGGAGUCUCUGUGUCUGGUGCUACCAGUUAUGCUUGACGAUCUUGAAUUUUUCGAGCACGACUUUCCCCUCCUUAUACUUCUCGGAUUCCUCGUACGCUCGGAAAUACUUCCAUCCCAAAUUCUCCUGGCAAUCGACGCAGUAGAUAUCUGAAACCACGUGGAGACCGGUCAUGAGAUUCCUGUUCUCCUUGGGACCUUCUACUAUGUUCAUGGCGUGGGAGAAGAGAAACGCCCUCCCAUGGCUUGCCUAUGAAAGAAGCACAUUCCCAUGAUCAGCGAUCUUCAUCAAUCCGGACAGCACGGGUAAGGUGACCGAGGGACUAUUCCUUAAAUCGAGACAGAAUCAGCAAGGACAUGGGUCUCACCUGGAAAUUCUUGGAGAUAAUGUCAUCGUGGCAACAAACUAGAUUCCCACACUUGAAGCAGCUGUACAGACGUUGUCCAGUCGAAUCCGCCAUUGCGAGAGAAGCUUCAGAGUCAAUAGCCGAAUAAUUGUGUAGGUGGAGGAGGAGCAGAAUUCAUCACCAUAUAAUAGCGGCACUUGUUUGCCUAUACGAUUCAACCAAAGAUCGUCAUCAUCCUAAAGGAACAGAAGAAUCAUUACUUCUAUGCUAUAAUAAGGAAUUGAUUGAGUGUAGAUUCCAAAUAGGUUGAAAGAGAUGCCCUGAUUAAUGAAUUAAACUUAUAUAAACAGGUGGGGUUGGCAAAGACCGGAUUGGAGAGCGUCUUGAGUACAUUAAAAUAUCCACCAUUACGUAGGAGCCACUAUAUGUGAGAACUAAAGUUAAAGAGAAGACAAUUAUACACAGCAACUCACAAAAGAAAAGCAGCGUUUUCCUCCCUCUUGCCUCUUGGCCUUUAAGUAGUGAGCAAAGGCCGGUGCUAGCCUAGCCUUUAACCAGAGCUCCAAUAUGACAAUGGGGUUUACCAUGGUUUCUCGUUCUUAUCCUCAUUGGUGUUUUCUGUUGCGUCAUUUGAAUUUGAUUCAGUUAACCAAAUUCAGAUGACGUGAUCGUAAUGUAAUCUGCACGAUCUUCAAUUCGAAUUCAUUGUGCUAUUGCUUAGAGAUGUGUCCUUAAAAUGCGGUACUUGUUACAUCUUGAUAAGGUAAGCAAGAGAGAGGAUGGGAAAACAGUAGCGUCAAUGGGGGUAGUUUGCUCAAUCAUUAUUUAAUCUCAAUCCAACCAAGCGAAAACUACGUUGACUUGGGGAACCUACUUUUCGUCCUUCAAUCAUUGGAUGCUUGCGUGAACUUACCCAGUUUUGCGUGGUGCGAAAGGAUGGUAUGGAAUGUUGCAAAAUUGAAACAACAAAUAUUAUGAGAAUGUUAUGACCGGCUUCAAGUCCAAAAACGCGGAUCGUGUGAAUCUCUCAUUUGCAAAACCUGUAAAAUUUCGAGAAAAUUUUAAAUUGGCUGCAGAAUAUCAUCAAUCAAAGUUGUGUUUGUUUUAUAGAAAAUUCGAUGAUAUAAGAAAAUAUUUUUUGAUAACACAUUCUUCGAGAAUACGUUAGUUUUUUUUUUUUUGAUGAUAUAUGAUUGAAAAUGUUUACUAUUGUUUAGAUAUUAUUGGAAAAUGAUUAACUUGCAAAAAACAGUUCGAAUUUUUAAUUAUAUAUUUCCUAUUUUUUUAUUUUUAUUUUCUUUUUAAAAAAUGGGAAAUUUUAACUUAUUUUUAAUUUUUUUUCCUUUUUCUUUUUCUCCCUUCGUUCGCCACUACUAGCCAGCAACGACCACAGCUCCGCCUCACUGGGACUAGGCGAGCGUCGAGCUCGUUGGCCUUGAUGGAGCUUGGGUUAGUGAGCUCGAGCUUGCAUGGAUUGGCCGAGCUUUAAGCUUGCUGGCUCGUCUCUUGGCCGAUUGUGGGUGGUGGAGGAGGAAGGGGGAAGAAGGAGGAAGAAAAAGAGAAAAGAAAACGAAAAAGAAAGAAAAGAAAUUAAAUCAAAAUCAAAAAAAUCAAAAUUUAUAACAAAUAAUUAAAAUUUUGAUUUUUUUUUGAAAAAUUAUUCUAUAAGAAUAAAAAUUUUGUUAACCAAGGAUCCUAUGACUCGGAAAACAUUUUGGAAAAUAUUUUCCGAUUCUUUCAAAGGAGAAAUCAUUGUCUUGAAUUUAUGUGUUUGUGGGAAAACACUUUUCAUUGAAUAAGAAAAUAUUUUUCAUUGACUCAUUUUUCUUAACGAAUCAAAUGUAAAAAAAAAUGAGGAAAAUGUUUUUUCCGCGAAACAAACGCAUCGCAAGUUAAAGACGGGAAUGCAGAGAGAUUGCUUUCCUUCAUAGUACAAACCCCUCUUUAUUUUAGUUUUCUCUAGACACUCCAUCGGUCACUUUGAACGAAGGGAUCGCAACCACAGGGGCUGGUAAGCUAAGCACGUUUCUCCUUCUCACUCAAGACCUAAAUUGGAAUUAUAUGUUUGUCCACUCUCUUAGAAACACAAACAAGUGUGUCUUCGACGAUUAUUCGAUGGGUACUACAUGAGGGAUUGCUACACUUAAUGGGGAUUCAUCAAGUAUUCAAAGAGUCUUGAAUACCUCAUUGAUAUAAUAAGAACAUAUUUCAUUUAUGAUUAUCUUAUCUACACCAAUUGUAAGAUUGAGUUUUAGGUUUUUAACUUAUGUACUUAAAUCCUUCUAAUUUACAUAAUUUGUGUGAUCAAGUUCUUUUGUAUGUUCUGUGAAAAUUCAAGAGUGAUAGGUUUCGGCAUAAUAUUGCCUCAAGGAAAGUUUUAUAUUAUUGAGAGCUAUAUAAAUCUUUGUAUACAGGAACCAAUAUAUAAUACAAAGAAUGAUUAAUAAAAAGAUAAGAGUAUAUCUUCCUAAUCUAGGUGUACCAAUUAUAAUCCUAGAUUGAUUCAAUUAAUCACUAUGAAGAUUGGAGAGAGAUAUUAUUUGGGCGAUCUUCCUUGGAGAGGAAAUUGCAGUGAUUCUUGGGUGAUUCUAGAUAAUUCCUCUUAGUUGGCACUGUUUUCUUUGACACCCCUUAUAAGCUGAUGUGGGUGAGCGCACAAUAAGCUUGGCUCGUAGGAGGCGAAACCAAGAGGUGGAGAGCCCUUUGGUGAAAAUGUCAGUAGGUUGAUCAAGAGUGGAAAUAUAUUGAACAUGCAACUUGUGCCGACUAACCCGUUCGUGAACAAACUGGUAAUCAAUUUCCACAUGCUUCGUGCGAGCACGAAAAGCUGGAUUGCUAGUCAAAUAGAUUGCCAAUUUGUUGUCACACCAUAAAAUCAGAGGCCGUUGAGAUGGCACUUGGAGAUCUUGCAAUAGAGCCUCAAGCCAAAUGAGUUUGGCACUUGUGUUUGUAAGGCACUUGAACUCGGCUUCAGUGUUGGAGCGAGCCGCAGUGUGCUGCUUGCGAGAGCUCCAAAAGAUAAGGUUGUUGCCAAGAAAAAUGCCAUAACCCCCAACUGAGCAGCGAGUGGUAAGGUCUCCCGCCCAUCCGGCAUCGGAGAAAACAUGAAGAUGAAGAUUGUUGCUCCGAGUGAAUAGAAUGCCAUGACAAAUGGUACCCCUAAUGAAUCGCAAAAUCCACUUGAUGAGUUGCCAAUGUUUAGUUGUAGGAGCAUGCAUGAACUGGCAAACUGUGUUAACUGCAUAAGUGAUGGUCAGGCCUGGUGAUAGUGAGGUAUUACAAAGCCCCUACAAUACUACGAUAUUAGUGUGGGAUCAGGGAAUGCAUCACCAUCGCUAACAGAAUGAGAGUCAGUACUGACGGAGCAGGGUGCGGUAAUUGGCUAGGCAUCAAACAUCUUGGCUUGACGAAGAAGGUGAGUGGCAUACUUGCCUUGAUGGAGGAGAAGCCCCUGUGCCGAAUAUUGCAAUUCAAUGCCCAAGAUAUAGCAAUGUGCCCCAAGAUAGCAAACUCAUGCUGCAAAUCAGCAAGAAGAGCAGACAAAGGAGCAGUAGGUAAUCCCAUAAGAAUGAUAUCAUCGACAUAUACCAAAAGAUAAACAGUGUAUCCAUCUCGAUUCAAUAUAAAAUGAGAGGAGUCAGCUCGAGUAGUAAAUUCAAAAGAUAGUAAAAAGGAACUUAGCCAUUGAUGCCAAGCAUGUGGUGCUUGUUUUAGACCAUAGAGGGACUUGUGAAGUCGGCAGACAUAAUUUGGUUUCUUAGGAUCAAUAGAUUUUAGUGAUUGCUCAAUGUAAAUUUCCUCAGUGAGAUGACCAUGUAAGAGCGCAUUUUUCACAUCCAACUGCCGAAUUUACCAACCUCAAUUAUAUACAAUGACAUGCUUGACAACUAGACUGAAGAUUUCAUGAAAGUUCACGCCCUCUUGUUGAUAAAAUCCCUUUGCCACCAAACAAUCUUUAUAAUGCUCAAAAGUUCCAUCAGCCCGCAUCUUAAUAUGGUAUACCCACUUACACCGAAUCGGUUUGCAUCGUGGCGGGGGUGGAAUAAGAGAUUAUAUGUGAUUUGCAAGAGAGUUGUAUAUUCUUCAAACUUGGCCUGGUGCCACUAUGGGGCUUUAUUGACUCGACUGAAGCAGGCGUAGAGGUAUCCAUAAUAGACGUGUUCAAGGCAUAUGUGCGAUCAGAAUUGAGGUGGCGGCCCUGCAAGGUCCUGUCUCUCAGGCGGGCCGUCAUAGGGUGAGCUGGAGGCGGAAUUCGAGUUGGUUCUGCUGAUAGUAGGCAUCGCGGCAGGCGAAGACGACAAGGAAGGACUCAUCUCGGCAAGGGAUGGUGCUAGACUGCUUUGAACCUGCACAGGAUAAUAUAAAGGAUUAGCAAUCAUUGACGGUGAAGAGCUGCUCGGAGCUGAGAUGGUAGUAGGUGGUGAAAAGAAUAUAGACGAUGUCGCAACAUCCAAAUCAUGAGAAACAAUGCCAGAUGGAGAGGAGUUGGAAAGGGGAAACUUAUCUUCAUGAAGGACAGCAUCAUCAGUAAUGUAAACUCAUUGCUGGUCAUUGGAAUAACAUUGAUACCCUUUAACUCCAGAGGAUUAACCCAAGGAGACACAAAGGCAAGAACGUGGCUGCAGUUUUUUUUUUUUUUUUAUUUGGUAGGGCCGCAAGUUUAGGUAGACAGCGCACCCAAAAGUGCGCAAGCGAUGAAUAGUAGGAGCCGAGUGAAACAAUUUUUCUCAUGGUGUAUGAAAUUGCAAAGUAGGUGUGGGCAACCGAUUGAUGAUAUGAACAGCAGUCUCAAUAGCAAAAUCCUAGUAUCGAUCCGGAACCGAUGCAUGAUACAUCAUAGAGAGGGCCAUUUCAACAAUACCCUUGUGCUUGCGUUCUGCAGCUCCAUUCUGAGCAUGAAUGUGAUGACAGGAAGUCCUAUGAUUGAUACCAUGUUCAUCAAGCAGCGUGCGAAAAGGAGUAGACUGAAAUUCCCCGCAUAAUGACACUGAAUAGCCUUGAAUCGAGUGUUAAGCUGAUUUUCAACAAAGUUGAGGAAUUUAGUGAAGAUAGGUAAGAACUGAUCACGAGACUUAAAAAAAAUAAAGCCAAGAGAAUUUUGAAUAAUCAUCAGUAAAACAAAUGUAAUAACGAUUGUUUUGACCUGACAUUACAAUAGCGGGUCCCCAAAGAUCAAAGUCAACUCGUUGUAAUGGGGUCGUAGAUUUCUUCCCAGUAGGGAUCGACUCUGACAAUGACUUUUACUAGAUACACACGCAAAACAUGGUGGAACGGACUCAACUGAUUUAUUGAAAAUGCGACAUGCUACUGAAAAAGACGCAUGAGCCAAACGGUCGUGCCACCAAGUGAUGGACGAUGCUCGAGAGACUUGAUAAAAAGAAGGUGAUGGCGAGGUGGAUGAGACUGGAAGGGAAUAGAGACCCUGAUCAAGUACCCCUUGGAGUAGAGUCUUCCCCGUACGACCACACUUCACAGAAAAGAAGGUGGGUAAGAAGAUAAAAUCGCGAUUAUUUUCUUCAAUAAAUUGACGAACUGAUAGUAAAUUUUUCUUAAUGGAAUGAACAGCAAGAACUUGAGACAAUCGAAAAUUUGCGCAAGAAAAACUUCUUGUAUGUGAAAUAGGAAGACUGGACCCAUCACCUAUGGUGACAUGAUCAGGACCGACAUAUGGCUGAAGUAUGGAUAGAAGUCCAUGAUUAUUUGUCAUGUGGUGAGUGGCACCCGAGUCAGGGUGCUAGGAUUUAGUAGAAAACACUGAUGGUGGUGGAGAAAUCUUGGAUAGGUUGAGCUAUGGUUGCUGUUGAGCUGAUGGUGCAAAGGACUGUUGAUGAUAACGAUCACAGCAAACACUGGCUUUAUGACCCGGACGAUUGCAAAUUUGACAGCAAAUAGUGCCACGUCAUGGGCCACCAUAAUUUGGAUUAGUUAUUUGCCUCGCCUAUCUAUCGCCAAACUGAGAUUUAGAGCCCCAUGGGUUUCGGUCAAUUGGAGGAGUGCGAAACCACUGCUGCUAAGGGGCAAAUGAGAGAGUGCUAUUGUUGGCUUGAGUAACAAAGGCUAUUAUUUGUUGGUGUUGUGGCCGACUCCGUCAGCUCCAACUGUGCUUCAUGGGAGAGCAAAACCCAUGCAAAGAUUCAUGAGUCAUCACUUGAUACUGACUCUAAAUUGAAAUUGCAAUUGCAAGACUCUAAAAUUCAGCUCCUAAACCUCGAAAAAGAUGAGUUUGAUACUCCUGAGGAGAGAUGGUUUCACCGAUGGAUGCGAGCUGAUCAACAAUUGCGGUAGCAUGCUGGAGAAAUUCUGUAACAGUCUGGCUUCCUUUGCAUACCGUUUGCAAUUGUAUGUGCAAAUGUGUGGGCCUCGUGUUGUUCCGCGCAGCAUAGGAGGCGGCUAGAAAUCUACAUGCAUCUGAUGAGAUUACAAAAUUGCUAAGUUGACCAACGAUGGCAUCUGAAGUGGUGCUGAGGAUCCAUCCCAAAGCAAUUUGAUCCCUUGUGCAUCGGGUAUCAUAUUCGAGAUUGAGCAUUUGUAAUAUAUGGGCUUUAAAACAAGAAAAUAAAAUAAAAUAAAAUAAAAUAAAAAGAAAGGGUUGAAAAGUCAAAAAGGGAGGCUGAAGGAAAGUGGAGGAAGCUUCGGCUAAGUUUAAAAAGAUAGAGAGAGGGACAGAAAGAGAAGAAUAUCGGCAGGGGAAAAUGCGAAACAGGGGAGAAGAGAGAAAGAAGAGAAAGGAAAAAAAGGGAAAAAGGGAAAAAUUUUGGUGUGCUUGUGGUCCGAACGCCUCGUCAAGCCAACUCAAGUGUGUUUUGUAAUGCCGGUAAGGAAUCGACGCUUUUAAUCACCUACUUCAAGUAAUCGCCGCAAUUAGGGCUCAAAAUUCGGAUUUCUUGGAUAUUUGUGUGGCGAAGCCCGAUUUUUGAGUCGUUAAGCUAUAUAUUUAUUAGAAAUGGUACUUUGGGAUGUUGUGAAACUAUAGCAUCUUUCAGAUUGUGAUUUGAGCUUGCGGUUUGUUCGGAAUGGAAUUUUGAAGUUGGAGGCACAAUCUGAUACUGUAGCGAACAGGACUUCGAGUCUCUUUUUUGUUGUUUUCAGUAUUGUUUUGGGGCGGCUGAGUUGGGUUGUUGUUGUACAUUAAGAGAGUUUUCUAAAGACUAUAAAACGGCUUGAAACAGCAUAGGCAAGUCGUUAUAAGAAUAUCAUUUUUACUUGGCCUUUUGAUAUUAUUUUUUCGUUAAUUGUCAGGGAUCCGAAUGCGUUGGUUCGUGUGAGCGUCCUAGUUGAUUUUUGGCUUUUUCCAGGUGAGUGACACUAUUUCUUCUUUGUAUUUUAAACACAUGUUUUGAGAAACGUGGUGGAUUAUAUAUUCCAUGAGUUAAUAAAAAGCAUAUUUUGUUGCAUAAAACAUAGAUCGAGCUAUUACUGCCAUUUUUGUUGUUUGAAAUUGUUGUUUGAAGGGAGUUAUAUUCUGACUUCGAUUUGAAUGGUUGUUUGAAAAAGGAUUUGUGAAAUUCUUUGCGAAAAAAUCUUGAAAUGUUUUAGAGAAUGCUUUGAUAUUUAUAUAUCGAAUUUUGAGUUAUGAUAUGACUUCUUUUUUGAUGUUGGAUUACUGAAUAUUGUGAUUGGUGGUUGGUGCUCAAUGUCGCUGUGGACCCUGAGGGGUGUGUGGGUAUGUGCAUACUAUUCUAGGAUAUCUUUGUGAGUCGAGCCACCGGCUAAUAAUAGGUGGAGACCUUGCCAAGGGGGGAAUCUUGGUCGUCUUGUCAUGGACGUUACGCGUGACCAUAGUUAGACAUUUGAGCAUGAAUUGGUCAAUGAAGUGAACCAUUGACAUGUGAUUUGAGUUUGGUUGAUGGAGUGGACCAUCGAUAUGAUUUGAUGAGAUUAAUCAAUGAAAUAGACCAUUGAUGAUGUUUUACGAGAUUGACUAAUGGACUCGACCAUUGAUAUUUUUGGUAUUCGAGUUAUGAUUUGAUAUUAUGAUAAAGUGAGUUAUGUUUGUGUUUUAAAAUGUGCAUAGUGAUUUCUCGAUCCACUUAGAAGAAAUGUGUUACUCACUGAGCUGUGGUAGCUCACUCCUCUCAUCUACUUGUUUUUCAGGUCUUCAGCGAGUCGCGAAUAGGCUCGGAGAGGACUUUUGUGGUGGAAAUUUUUGAGUAUGGCUUAUGCAUAGUUGAUAAGUUUAUAAGUUAGUCUUUGUAGAAGAUUCAUGUUUUGAUUUUUGUGGAUUAUAGAUAUACUCUAAUAUUGUAACCAAUUGCCUCUUUUUGUCAAAUAUAUAUAUAUAUAUAUAUAUAUAUAUAUAUAUAUGAUAUAUGUGGAUGUAUAUAUGUUGAUAUUAGGUUAAAUUUUGGUUACGUUGAGGCUAUGUCCUUUGGUAAAAGGACGGCCAUGUCAUGCCCUUCUUCUUGUGAAUCGGGGGUGUGACACAAUUGUAAUUGCUCUAGUCCCUUCUUGGGUGAUUUGACUAGGUGGAAAGGGUGCAAUUCCCUCAACAAUUUAAAGCAGUUUAUUUGCUCGAAGAAACAGGAGCAAAUAGGCCUUCCAAACAACAUAGUUAUCACCUAUAAAUUUAACACCAAUUGUGGGACAAGUAAUAGUUUUAGUUGAAUUCCCUAUAAUAGGAAGAACAGUGAGUGUUUUAGGUGUUGAUGAACAAGUGUUGAAUUGCUGGAAGAAGCAAUAAGAGAACAAGAUUGAUUUUCUUAUUGGAUUAAAAAAAUAUAUAUGUUUGCAAAAUCAAGGCUCUGAUACCAUGUGAAAAUUUAAGAGAAAUAGGUUUCGGUAGAAUAUUGCCUUGAGGAAAGUUUUAUUAUAUUGAGAGCUAUAUGAAUCUUUAUACAAAGGAACCAAUAUAUAAUACAUAGAAUGAUUAAUAAAAAGAAAGAGUAUAUUUUCCUAAUCUAAGUAUAUCAAUUCUAAUUUUAGUUUGAUCCAAUUAAUCACUAUUUUAAGAUUCAAGGGAGAUAUCUCUUGGGUGAUCUUCCUUGGAGAGAAAAUUGCGGUGAUUCUGAGAUAUCUCUCGGGUGAACUUCCUUGGAGAGAAAAUUGUGGCGAUUCUUAGGCGAUUCAAGAUUAUUCCUCUUAGCUGGCGGUGUUUCCUUUGACAUGUUCUAUUAAGCAAAAGUGCAUGGAGGCAUUGCAAUUCUUUUUUUUCAUUUAAAUAAGGGAGGAAAUUAGUAAAAGUUUUGAAAUCAAAACAAAAUCGGAAAGAGACGAAAUCUAAAAAGAAAUAAAAGAGAGAGGGAGAAGCGAUGGUAGUGGCCGCUACGGAUGAGCGUCCUGCAUUGGACUUUGCCACCAUGGCGGUGUCGGUGGCGACAAGAAUAUAUGACACCUCCCGCAACAUUUGCAUCGUUAUCUUUACCUUUUUUUCAAUCGCUUUCUCAGUUUUUUUCAUCAAAUCGAAACUAAUUUUUUUGUCCACAAAAGGCCAUAUUAGCGCCAAUAAGAUUUGUUGAAAUUAAAGGUCUCGAUUAUGCAUGUCGGGCAACUAAAAAAAUGAUUAGAAUGCAUAAAUUGAGAGCUUGAAAACUGAAUUACGCGAUUGACAAUGUUGGAAGAAAACAAAUGAAAUUAAUGUCGUGUUAACGACUACCUAAAAUCCACUCGUCAAGCCACACUCGAGGGACAAUGUUUGGAUAUACAAAACAUGAAUUUAGAAAUAACACGAGAAAAAUAAUGGAGGGGGGGGGGGGGAUUGCGGACAGACUUAAAAAUGGCUGAUCGACAAGGUGGGGCGGGGACGGAAACAGGGAAAGGGAAGAGGUGAACAAUGAACAAGGAGAUUCCAUUAGUGUAAGCGAAGGGAAGGAGCAGUAGUUUGAUGGGGUUUGGUGAAGGGUUGCCCCGCCCUCUCUGGGUGGGUUAAGCUGAGCGGACGACAGGAAUCUCUCGCAAGCAUCGGGCGGUCGAUGGGCAUGGCAUCUUUCUCCCGAGGAGGAGGGGGAUCGUCCAACAAGUGACUUGGGACUCCAGCAAAGAAUCCGAAGCUCACGUCGAUUGGGCGUGGAUUGCGGGGGAGUGGGGGGCCCCAGCCCCGGCCCCAGCCCCGACAAUCAUAAAAAGAGGGAACGGGAAGGAGUCGAAAGCGAGGUGAGGACGGCAGGACCCACACGGCCACACCCCCCCCACAAAAACCCGAAUCAAUCAUUAUUUUGAGCCAUUUUUGUUUUUUCGCAAUUGGCGUCAUCUGGUCACGACUCUGUCUCUGCUUUUCCUCUUUCUUUCCUUGUUUUUUUUUUUUUUUUUUAACGACCGGAACGCAAGAAUUCGCUGGGUUUUGAGGAGGGAGGGUGGUCAACCCCGCAAAAAAACCCAUCGAUUGGGAUUGAGGAGAGCGGGGCGAAUAAAGUCUGGUUGAGCAGAUUCGGUGGCCGCGAGCCAAUCCCGAGAGGCCACGUCCCCCAUCUUCCGCUACCACCUUUUUUCUCAUGUAAAUCUAUGGGGGUGCAGGGGAGACCAGCAGCAGCAGCAGCAGCAGCAGCAGCAGCAUUCUCCUCCUCUUCCAUGGAGUAGAGUAGAGUAGAGUAGAGUAGAGGAGUGUGAAUUGCGAGGCCUCACCCAGCAGUCGCCAACUCCGGUGUGGGUUGUUUUUGUUGGGGGGGUGGAGGGAUGGGGCUGCUGAGCAACCGAAUGGAGCGGAGCGAGAUCAAGCCCGGUGAUCACAUCUACACGUACCGCGCCGUCUUCACCUACUCCCACCACGGUCCGUCCCCCUCUCCCUCUCCUCCCCCUCCUCCGUGAUUCGAUUCGAGGAGUUGGGUCCGGUUGCUUGUCGUUCCUUUCGUGAGAAACUGCGCUUCCCACGUGUCCCCCGGUCUUCGUCGCCCCUCAAUUUGCCUCUGAAUUGGCGGAUUCUGAUCGCCCUCUUGUCUUCGUCCCCACGUCUCAGUUUCCGCUUAAUGUGGGUCACGACACGAUGCUCCGAAACCGUGCUUUUCCCGAUUCCGUCUUUGAUUUGCUCGGGAAUUACAUUAUGCUGUUCCCUCGUUUGCUUGAAAGUUGUCGGAUCUGAUACAAGUAUGCAGCUUUACUUGAUGAACGUAGGAACUCAUCCACCACAGACGAAUUUAGAUGAAUUCUUAAAAUUUGCCAGUUGAAUUGUUGGUCUACGCCUUUCCGGGAUGAUUUUUUUUUUUUUUUUUUUGGUCAUUUUGCUCCUUCAGAGUUAAAGGCGAUAUCAAUUUUUCUCGUUUGAGUGGUUCUGUAAACUUGUUUAGCUGGCAGUCUGGAUUACUUCAGUAGUCAGCCCUUCUAACAAUCGUGACUUAACCGUGCACGCACUGAAUAUAAAUGGAAUUUGGAACUUUGCGGGCUGCAUCAUUGCAAUUCUCAUAAUGAUGAUUAGAUAAGCUAUAUUUGGCGGAUGUGCUGCAGUGGAUGUUAUAGCAAUGGCAACAGGUUAGAGCAUGUGUUAGACAGUAGAGAGAUAUCAUGUGUGGACUGACAAGAAAUGGUGAGUAUUCAGGAACUCGAAUUGGACGAUUCUUUCGAUUGCAGAGCUUAACGCUACCAUUGAGGUAUGCAAUAUACAUUCUUUUUAUAGAUUAAGGGAUAUAGCAGGUAGAGCUUAAGAAGAUGGCAUAUAAUAGCCAUUUGGGACUGCUGAUUGAAUCGACCGUGCUGCUGCAUCAAUAGUGUGUCAUAGCUACAGCAAUGAUUGGGAUGGAUCUAAUAGCUAUAUGCCAUAGGAAGAUGUAGCUUACUUAUAAUUGCCUCCUAGUUCUUACUCAGUUGAGGUCAUUUAUGCUGGUGUCAUGCUACAGUAGGUAGAACUUUUUCCGGCUCGUACCCUUUAGGUUCUGAAAAACAUAAACUGGAAGCAUAUAACUUUACCUUACAUUAGGUGUGUCUUCAGAUGCUUUUAUAGACCCUACAGCAGACCGACUGGAUUGCCGAGUGGUUGAAGUCCGAAACAUGGUUGUACUGGAACUUUAGACAAAUUAGCAUCCUCUAACUCCAUCCAAGACAAUGGAGAAACAUAUUUGCGCAUUCAUCAUCUGAUGGCAUAAGUAACAGAAGAAGGGAGAUACUUGCUUCGGGGAUGAAGUAACCUAGGUCCUUUUUUCUGUUGCUAAACUAUCUAUGGUGGAGCAUUUAGGUAUACGUGGCAUUUUAAAUUGAGAAUGAUUCUGAUUGUUCUUUGCACCCAGCUGUAGGCUUUUACUUUGAUGACUCUUUGAAGUAUUGUAGCUUUUCAUUGAGUUUCCAUGAUGAAAUCUUGAAUCCAUUUGAUGUCUGUCAUGUAGGAAUCUUUGUCGGGGGAAGCAAGGUUGUUCAUUUUAGACCUGAGCGUAAUGCUGAUUCAAGCAUUGAAGAAGCCGACUCCUAUGAUGCAAUGUCUUCGUCCUGUCCAACCUUCCCUGAUUGUGGAUUCAAGUUACCCAGCAGUGGUGUGACACUCACAUGCCUGGAUUGCUUCCUCGGGAAGGGAUCUCUGUACUGCUUUGAGUAUGGGGUUGCCCCCUCAGUGUUCCUGGUCAAAGUGCGUGGAGGCACUUGCACUACUGCCCCCUCUGACCCGCCAGAAGCUGUCAUUCACAGGGCAAUGUAUCUCCUCCAAAAUGGAUUUGGCAAUUAUGAUAUCUUUCAGAACAACUGCGAGGACUUUGCGCUGUAUUGUAAAACAGGCCUUUUGAUAAUGGACAAGCUUGGGGUCGGAAGAAGUGGCCAAGCUUCUUCUGCCGUUGGUGCUCCCCUGGCUGCCAUUCUGUCGUCUCCUCUGAAGUUGCUAAUGCCAAGUCCUGUUGGAGUGGCUACAGUAACAGCUGGAAUGUAUUGUAUGAGCCGGUAUGCUACCGACAUAGGGGUGCGAUCAGAUGUGAUCAAAGUAGCCGUGGAGGACUUGCCUGUAAACCAAGGCUGGGCAGAAGAUCAUCAUGAGGAAGCAGAGGGGAGGGCGCCUUCUGACAGAUUGAUUACAGGGUGAUGUAAAUGAAUGUCCUUCAUGUGCAUAUACAACGGCAUAUACUCGUCAAUAGAGACUUCUCCUGGCCAUGCAUUCCUAUGCCAAAACUACUUUUUCUUCUUUUCAUUCUCCACCCUCUAGUAUUCAAACUCUGUCGCCAAAUAACCAGUUACGAUUGACUGCAGUUUGGAUGGAAUUCUUCGAUGGUUUUUAGCAAUUGGUUGUAUUUAGUCUAUGUCGCAUCAUAUACAUUGAAGCUUCUCUCGUUUCUUUUCCUUGUUAAUCUGAUGAAGAGCGACGCUUACUUGCUUUAUGACCUCAUUAUUUGUGCUUUUACUUGUUAUUCUAACGCCCAGGUUGAUUCAACUAUGCCUAAUGAGAAGGUUCGUGUAAGACCACUAGUAAGUUAUUGUUAUACCAUUAAGUCUAGUUCCAGAUUAGGGCAAUAAAUAUCGAAGGAUACUUAUUCUCUUUUUAUUUUAUUUAUUUGGUCAGUAAAGGGUACUUAUUCUAUUUAGUAAGAAUUUUGUCAAAAGAUGCACGAAACUCGUUCAGAUGCAAUGAUAGGCUUUUUUGAAUGAAAAAAAGGCGAUUUGCUUGUAUUUUUGUCUUGCGAUGCAUGGUUUUCAAUUGCUUUCCAUUUUCAAUUUCUUGAUAGUAAGAAGAUAUGAGACUAAUUUACUCUCGAGAGUUGUCCUCAGGGACCUGCUGAAAUGGAGCAGUAGGAAUGUAUUGAACAUCUGGAGCUAUAGCAGUCAUAGAACAACUGGAGCAAAAGGGAUGUAUGUAAUAUUUUCUCUGGUUGCAAACCACUGAACAAAAGAUUUUCUGUUCCUUUUGAUGAAUGAUGUGGAAUCCAUAAAGUCAAGGUGGUGCGUUGCAUGGGGUCAUGCAAUUUGCCUAAAGCAAGCAAUGGAUGUUCUCAAAGCAGCCACAGCCUCAAGCUGGUGGACCUUGGUCCUUAUAAUUCCCUUCCAUCAUAUAUCACCAGGCAAAUAUCCCAAAAGUGAAAGUUAACUUUACCAAGAAUUUGGUGAGGGAGUGUUAUAACUCAGAUUUGAAUAUUUGAUUCAUGGACAUUUGUUCCCUUAUAAACCAGUAUUAUCAUGAGAGAAACUCUGCCACCCUUCUUUUCAACCGAAAUUAAUUUACGCUAGACGAGAUAUCUCUCUUAAGUGACUUGUGCUUAUGAACUCAGGCCUCUGAAAGGGCCUCCACGGUUCUGUUUUGCUGCUCGGGUUAUCUGAACUUUGGUUGUUGCUAGCAGACUGAGUUUGUGCCAUUUUGUCCUCGUUGGAAGCCUUGAACUCUGCCAACUCUGCCAACUCGACCACUCCGCCAACAAUAUCUUCAAUUCUUGCCGCAAUUUCUGUCAACAAAGACACUAAUGUGGCCAGUGGAAAUAUCCCCAUGAGAGGCGGCGCGGAGUCCUUUUAGCUGUUGACUUAUUCUCAUUUGAUUCGUCGGGAAGUAGUGGGUGAAGAAUGAGUUUGAGUAGGAAGAGAUUUCAGGGCAUUUUUUAAUUCUCUACAACUGAUAAAUCUAUUUUGGAUGGAUCGGUCAUUGUUUUCACCGACAUUGAAAGUUCUCUCGAGACAUUACACGAAUGAGAGCAUGCUGCUAUGCUUGCUGGCAUCCCCGUGAUAUCCCUUAAAAGCUCGGUUGCGGAAGCCCCAAAGAAAACACCCUUGAAUGAUGCUCUAAAAGUAAUUCAUAAAAACAACGAAAGCUCUGGAUUUCAAAGAGGGGCUGCUGUAGUUUAUGCACCUGCAUUUAAGAGUUAAGAAACCAUUGAGAGCCUCAAUAAAGCAAGCACGGUUGUGCAGGAGAGCUCCUAUCUUGAGGUACUCUUUCCAGGGAUGCUGGAAAUUGAAAGGGUCAUGAAUGAGUUCCCAUCUCGCGAAAUUUACGUACAUCAUACUGGAUACUAAUUAUAAAACGUUUGAGCAUUUGACCCUACACGACGAGCAUUCAUUAGAUAGUUUGAGCAUUCUUUUCCCUGGGGAGCAAGAAGUUACCGUAGAUUCCUCAGAGGCCUUUGAGUUUAAAACCCACUGACAUGCUUGUGUUUUCUUGGAAUUGUCUCUGUUCGCUCGGAAGCACACUCUGAUUGUCCUAAAAGUACUCUGCAACGCACCCAUUGCAUUUUUAAGAUCAGAAACUUAGCAUAGUUAAUAUCUUGCAGAUGCCGAAUUUGUGUUGACAUGAUUACCUUCGAGAGAUUCAGCGAGCUUCUCCAUGUUUCUAUGGAUGAGCCAGUGAAGUUCAUCACUGGCCUUAUGGGAGAGAUGGGCACACCAACGAGAAUGCACAAUGAUGUCCCGAUAACUCUUGUCGAUAAUCUCUGAUUUGCCACUUCAAAGAGUUUGUCGACGCGAUAACCAGACAGCAAAACCAAGCUGAAGGUGAGUAUGAACAUCAUGGCACCAUAAUUAAAUUGUGCUUUUACUGAUGGCAUGAACCGGGAAAAUGUUGCUGCUGAAGCUGCAAAAGUAACAUUUUACUUUAGCUACUGCUAUUAGUGUUCACCACUAGAAGAUCUCACUGUUUAAGAUGUCUUUUUCACCCACUUACUAGUUGCGAAAACAGAUAUUCCCAGAAUUACGGGCUUGAAUGUUUCUCCUGACUGACUUGCCAUGCAGUGUUCGCCUAUGCCAAGUGACCCAGCAACAAACGUCCCUGUGACUCCAUUUAUGCUCUUGGGUAGUGUAGAACUGGACAAGUAAUAUGACUAAGAGCAGUAACAUGCAAAAGCAACGAUGAUGUCAUAAAUAAGACUCACUGCAUAGAUUUUGAAAUAUUGAUUAUCAAUUUUAUAGAAAAAUCUAGUAUUCUCAAUUAGUAAAUUCUCGUCUAGAUUACUUAGUUAAGGUCUUGAGGGCACUUGUUUACAGAUAUCAGAAAUAGUAAGAAUGAAGUCGGCGGAUUUUUUCUAACAAUUGUACAUUCAAUAAAUGUCUCAAAAGCACUCAUUAACAUAUCUUCCAAAUCACGGAGCAGAGUUUAUCUAUGGACGAGUGACCUGCUCAAGCCUAUCAUGCCAGAAGAAAAGGCAAAUGAGCCGCAUUAAGUAAUGUCCUUACCUUUGUGAUUAUUGCAAGGUUUUCCACGAGCUUCCAAGUAGUUGGGCCUUUACAUCCGCGCCUCUAGAUUAUAUAAAGAUAAUACUGGAUGAUACGGGAAAUUAUAAUGAAUGUCUUAAUUAUAUAUUUUCUUCUUACUCAGAUGAGGUUAUAUCUGCUGGUGUCCUGCGACAAUGUGCAGAACUUCCUCUGGUUUGUACCCUUUUGAUCCUGAAAAACAUAAGCUGGAAGCGUAUAAAUUUACCUUACAUUAGUUGGGUCUCCAGAUGCUUUUCUGACCCUAAUGCAGACCGACUGGAUUGCCCAGUGGUUGAAGUUAAGGAACAUGGUGUCACCAGAACAAUAGAUGAAUUAGCAUCAUCUACCCCAUCCAAGCCAAUGGAUAAACAAAUGUGCGUAUUCAUCAUCUGGUGGCACAACUAACGGAAGAAGGGAGUCACUUGCCACAAUAUGUCAUUCAUAGGGCAAUGUAUCUCCUUCAAAAUUAAUUUGGCAAUUAAUGAUGUCUUUCAGAACAACUGCAAGGACUUUGCGCUUCACUGUGAAACGGGUCUUUUAAUGAUGGACAUGCUUGGGGUUGGAAGAAGUGGCCAAGCUUCUUGUGCCGUGGGUGCUCCCCUGGCUGCCAUUCUCUCAUCUCCUCUAAAGUUGCUAAUGCCAAGUCCUGUUUGGGAGGCUACAGUGACAGCUGGAAUGUAUUAUAUGAGCCGGUAUGCUACUGACAUAGGGGUGCGAUCGGUUGUAAUCAAAGUAGCCAUGGAGAACUGGGCUGUGGACCUAGGCCAAAGCCACAGAGAGGGCACCUUCUGACAGAUUGAUUACAGG
rnacentral:lncRNA from 1 species